rnacentral:lncRNA from 1 species
AUGCUCUUGAUCUUCUAUCUUCAAUCCUAGCUUCAAUCCUUCAAUAGGAGCUCCUUUGGAUCUUCAAUUUGGCUUCUAAUGGAGGUUUGGGGCUGGUUUAUGCAGAAGAAACUCGGGAAAAAUCAGGAAAAACGAAGUUGGGGAAGUUUUCUCUCUCUUUCCUCAAAAUCAGCCCUUUUAUAGGAAGUUGCUGAAACUGGGGGGUGCACGGCGUGCACCUCCUUUUUUCAAAAUUUUUGCGUAUUUGAACGGGAGGAACACCGUGCAAGAGUGCACGACGUUCCCCUGCUUAAGGGCCGUGAUUUGAAAGCAUCCUAGGGGUGCACGGCGUGCAUAGGUGCACGGCGUGCAACCCCUCUACUCAUCCAUUUCAUUUCUCAAUCUUCCGUUCGAGCUCCAAUCGUGCUCUACUUCACGUUCAUUGCUUCAUAACAAGACCACCUAUCUCUAGAGUACCUGUGGACAACAAAUACUACAAAGAAACACAUCAAAUGGACCGAAACGGUCCAAAUGAACAGAUCUAAACCCAAUACGCCAAAACACGAAAUUGUAGAGAAAUGAAGUGCGAACAUGCUAAUAACCACUCAAAUGCGUGUAGAAAAAGGGUAGAUAAAUGCUACAAAUUCUAGCCCUAUCAGUACUUCAAUUAACAACUCUUGAACAUGAAUCUGGCAUCAACCAAGUCACCAAGCGCAGCGGGGUACCGCUGACAUGAGGGAGAAAGCAUUUCCAACCUUGUAACGACUUGCUUCUCAUGUAAUUCCUCGUGGAGGAAUUAUGAUAUCCUUGGUGCUUAAAUUUGAUUUGUAAAUAUGUGUGAAUUUAAAAUAUAAUGUUUUAGGACUAUGAUGACAUAAUGAGGAUUAGUGAUAUUGAAAUUAUGUAUUAAUUGGAAUAUUGAUGUAGCUUAAUCGAUGACCAUAAUGAUAUGAUGAGUUAGCGAAUGCUUGCUACGUGCAGUCAACUUUGGUUGGCAGUUGGGCUUCGUAGGAUUCAUUAAUCUGUAUAGGCAAUGAAGAGAAACGGCCCCACUGUCUUGUAGUGGAGUUUGGGAGUGUGUACCAACUGCAAAUUGCGGCCUAAUUGAUGUAGGAGUUUGGAGCAAGAGAAAUGGCUUUUGGAUUUGAUCUAGAAAGUCUUUGAGAAAUUGAAUUGUUUAAAAUUAUACGUUAGAUAUAAUACCUAAAAACAUGGGGUUAAAAUAACAAUUUACACCAAAAUCCUAAUAAUUGCGGCCAUUUAUAAAGCGACACAUGUGUAUACUAUAUGAUACUUAAUAUAGUACAUAUAUUAUAUUUUAUACAAAGCCAUAUGAAUGUGUAUACACUUCUGUAACAGUUUCUAUUAACCCUUUAUAUAUUUAUGCAAUCCGUACAACUCCAUAUAAAGUUGUACGGUCGGUCAUCAUGAAAAAUUUCUAUAAAGAUAAGAUCGAUAACGGUGAUAACAUGGUUGAAAGAAUUUUCCACAACAGAGGUCGGAUGAUAAAAAAACUGAUCGAGAAACUUUCUAGUCACUGGAGAUGGUGGUCCGGUCAUUGGAGACGGUGGUCCGGCGAUCAUAACAAGCGGUCCAAUAAUAGAAGAUGGCUGGUCUAACGAAAGUAUUUAAAACCACACGACCAUAUUACCCCUGAUUAAUUUAAAUCCUUAGAUUAAGUGGAGAUCUAAUUAAGGGCCUAGAUUGCUCGAAGGGAGCCAAUAGCUGCAACACGUUUCAGUUGCGAUCAUGGCAUGUAUAUUCAUAUGAUGAAGAACCGUUUGUACACGCACCAGAUUUAGUGAUGUUGUCGUUAGAUAGUUUCCAAAAUUAGCGGCCUUCAACUUAGGUGAGACCGAUAAUGUCAUUAUAAGGGUCGAGAAAAUUGUCGAUUACAAACUUCAAACCCAAUAUUUCUGAGAAUAAAAUCAAGUACUACAACUACUCGACUAAAAUUUAUUUUAACAUUAAAAAAUGAAAAAAAAUGAGUUCUCUCUCGAAUCCCCGUUUUCAAUUUUGCCUUCCUGUCCGGCCACCCAAAGCCACUCCUCUAUGUGACAAACCAAUGGGAGAUAGCUUGAUGCCCCUGUCUCCAUCUGAACUGCCUAACCAACAGCAAGGCCCCCGACCCCUUAUGUCCUAUGCCUAUACUCUUUCUCGAGAUCUUCAUACUAAGAUCCCCUCCACGAUGUCAGCCAUUACACUAGAGGUGAAUAACAUCGUUCUUAAUCGUAAGAAUGGUCACUGAUACUUGGAUACGUCUGGCGGCCUCCGAGCAAGCUCUGGAACGCCCUUAUUGUUUGGUUGAUGGGGAAGAACGUUGAUAUUCAAUAUAUGUAUGACGCCUAAAGGUGAUGUGGAAGUCAGAAGGAAGAAUGUUUAUGAUUGAUUUGGACCAUGAGGGUUUAUUGGUAUCUUUUUAUAUUCCUCAAGAUUAUGAUUUUGUGAUUACAGGAGGGCCAUAGAUGAUCUUUAAUCACUAUAUGGUAUGUCAUGGUUUGGAUACGUUUUUUCAUGCUUCUGCAGAUCUACCAUAAAAAUUGGUGGUGUGGGUUAGGUUCCCUCGGCUUCCUUUCCAAUACUAUCACAAGGCUAUCCUCGAUGGCUUAGGCGAUCUUAUUGGUUGUACCUUCAGGAUUGAUCGUCGCACCCUCAGCUCAGCUCGUGGGAAGUUCGCGCAUAUUGUUGUGGAAAUCAAUCUCAAAGAAGCUUUUGCGACUGGGUUGGCUCUUGAUGGUGUAUGUCAAGAAGUGGAAUACAAGAAUUUUCCUUCUCUUUGCUUUGAAUGUGGGUGCAUUGGUCAUAAAGUUGAGGGCUUAUUGGUACAUUUAGGAUUCUAGAAAAAAGGCUCAACGUUUUCAUUAAUGGUUUGAUUGUUCAUAUACAGGAAAUGAGAGGGACUAAGCGACAAGCUGCACAGCUGGAUUGCUGGCUGAAAGAGAGAGCUUGCAGCUCUUAAUAGAAUUUGCAGAAAGAACAGAGAAAGGACGUUGAGCUUUUUGAUGCAGGGUACAACGGUGACGUUUCACCCUUAUCUUCGUUGAUGAUGGAAUGCUCCGUUUCACUUAACUUGUUGGUGCAGAGAGGAAGAACGCACCGUUUCACUUAAGCGUUAAAGUGGAGGGAUUUUGGCGGGAAAUGAAAAUCAUUUCAUCAUCUAAUACCCCCCCUCAAGCUGGGGGGCACAGGUUGUGCAAACCAAGCUUGAAGAUGAGGUAGCUGAAGGGUGCUGGUGAUAGUGCUUUUGUGAGAACAUCAGCUACCUCAAGGCUGGUGGGGACAUGGAUGAGCUUCAUUAGCUUGCAUUGGACCUUCUCUCAAACAAAAUGACAGUCAAGCUCAAUGUGCUUGGUUCUUUCAUUAAAAACAACAUUCUUUGCUACAUGGAUUGCUGACUGGUUGUCCCAGAAGAUUGUUGCUGCUUGGUUGUGCUGAGCCUGGAAUUCUGAGAGCAGAUAGAGCAACCAUUGCACUUCACUGGCUGUGUGAGCAAGAGCACGAUAUUCUGCUUCACAUGAACUUCUGGAAAUGGUGGUUCGUUUCUUGCUCUUCCAGGAGAUUGGUGAAUUUCCAAGAAACACACAAUACCUUGUUACUGAUCUUCUUGUAUCUGGACAUGCUGCCCAGUCUGAAUCACUGUAGGCUUGUAAUUGUAGGCUUGAGGUGGAAGACAGUAGAAUUCCAGUUGUAGGAACUCCUUUCAAGUAUCUUAGAAUUCUUGUAACAGCUUUGUAAUGAACAUUUAAGGGUCUAGACAUGAAUUGGCUGACCUGUUGGGUAGCAAAGCUUAUGUCUGGUCUUGUGUUGUUUAAGUAGAUAAGUUUUCCUACUAUCCUUAUGUACAAUUCCAGAUUGUGGAAUUCAUCAUCACCAGUUGAGGACAAGUGUGUCUUGUAAUACAUUGGGGUAGCAACUGGUUUGCUUUCUAGCAUAUCUGCUUCCUCUAGUAGUUCCAACACGUACUUCCUUUGAGAAAGAUGUAUUCCUGAGACACUUCUUGUAACUUCCAAUCCCAAAAAAUAUCAUAGUUCACCCAAAUCCUUGAUUUUGAAGGCAUCAUGUAAUUGCUCUUUCAGUUUUAAAUUUUCUGUGAAGUCAUUUCCUCCCACAAUCAGGUCAUCAACGUAAACCAGAAUGGCUAUGAAUGACAUACCUGAACUUUUUAGGAAGAGUGAAUGAUCAAACUUGCUUUGAGUGUAGCCUAGUCAUUGCAAUUUGUCUGAAAGCUUGCAAUACCACUACCUGGAUGCUUGCUUUAGACCAUACAGUGACUUGAGUAACCUGCACACUGGUCUUUUUAGUGAACUGGUGACCUUCAGCCCUUGAGGAACCUUCAUGUAAACUUCUUCAUGCAGGUCACCAUGAAGAAAUGCGUUGUUUACAUCCAAUUGGUGUACAAACCAGUCUCUUGAGGCAACCAACGCAAGGAAGGUCCUUAUAGUGGUCAUUUUGACUACUGGUGAGAACGUUUCUUGAUAAUCAACUCCUUCCUCUUGUGUGAAUCCUUUGGCUACAGUCCUUGCUUUGAACCUUUCAACAGAUCCAUCAGACUUGUACUUGAUCCUGUAAACCCAUUUGCUACCAACUUCUUUCUUCCCUUCAGGUAGGUCAACUAUCUCCCAUGUUCCGUUGGCUUCUAAGGCCCUUGUUUCCUGAUUCAUUGCCUCAGUCCAUCUAGGAUCCCUGGCAGCUUCUGCAUAAGACCUUGGUUCCUUUUCUGCUAUUAUACUUAGAGCGAAAUGUUUAUGUUCACAAUCCAGAUCAUCAUAAAACAAGACAGUAUUGAGAGGAUGAGCCAUUCUUCCAGCUUUAUGUGUUUUGGGACAUACCUUUGGAACAACAUGAUUGGUCUUGCUUUGCUGCACAAGGAGCUGACAGUGAUAGUCCUGCAUAUAGGAGGGUGGCUUGUGAGGUCUGGUGCUUUUUCUGUGGUGUGGAGAUUUUGAGUUUUGAGGGUCAGGUGAUUGUGGUGGUGCAUGUUGGUUAGCGUCACUGUCACUGUCACUACCAGGAAUGUAGUCAUCCUCAUUGUGAGUGACUGGAUGUGGUUCAGGUUCUGGUGUGGAAGGAACAGAAGGGUUAACAAGAUGAGUAGGACUUGGUGGAUCAGUGAAAUCCAUUUCGACGGAUGGUAGUGUAUCAGCGGAAGAUGUAGCUUGAUCAGAAGAAGGGGACUGAUCCUUCUUAGUAUCGUUGUGAUCAGUGUGAAAGGGGAAUACACUUUCAUAGAAGUGCACAUCUCUAGAGACAAAGGUUUGGUGUGAGUCUAGGUCAUAAAUUUUGUACCCUUUAAUGUCAGGCACAAAACCUAUGAAGAUUCCCUUCCUAGCUCGUUUUUGGAAUUUGGUUCUAUGUCCAGCAAAGGUGCUGGCAUAACACAGACUUCCAAAGACCCUUAAUUCGUCUAGUUUAGGCUUGGAAUGGUGAAAAGCUUCAUAGGGAAUUUUGUUGUCAAGUAGGUGAGUAGGAAUUCGAUUCAUCAAAAACAUAGAAUGCUUGACACAAUCAGACCAGAAGGUUAAAGGGAUGUUGGCUUGAAAUUUAAGGGCUCUAGUAAUGUAUAGGAUUUGCUGGUGUUUUCUUUCAACUUUACUAUUUUGCUGUGGUGUUUCAACACACGACAUUUAAUGGAGGAUUCCAUUUUCUUGAUAGAAGAGGGGCAUGAAAAAUUCCCUCCCCUGAUCACUACGUAUACGUUUGAUACUGGUUUUGUAUUGGUUGGAAACAUGGGAACAUAAAUUUUGCAGAGAUGAUCUAGCUUCUGAUUUUAACUUUAACAUCAUGAUCCAUGUCAUGCGUGUGAAGUCAUCAAUGAUGGUUAGAAAGUAGAGGUAACCAUCGUAUGAGGGGCAAGCAUUAGGACCCCAGAGGUCGACAUGAAUCAAAUCAAAAGGAGCUUUAGUGCUGGAAACACUGUGAGGAAAAGAUAAACAUUUUUGACGAGCAAAAUGACAAACAUCACAAGGAGCUAAGUGGAAUGUCUCUAUACUGGAAUGGAGCUGCUUAAGGAAAGGGGUUCUAUGAUGGGAAACGUGUCCUAGACGGUAAUGCCAUAAAUCAAAGGGUUUAUUUCUUUGAGUGGAAGCGAUGUGACUAACUGGUUUGCAGGCUAUCAGCUUGUAGAGGCCCUUGUGUAGUUCAGCUAAACCAAUCGUGGUGUUCCUCGAUAGGUCCUGUAAUACACAAUGCGUGGAAGAAAAGGUUAGUCUCAAUGGUUGUUGAGCUGUGAGUCUGCUAACUGAGAUUAAGUUGAAUGCAAAAUCAGGAACAUAUAGAACAUUUUCCAGUGACAAAGUCUCAUUGAUCAACACUGUCCUAACAUGAGUGACUUUCACUUGCUGUCCAGUAGGCAGUGUGAUCAUUAAGGCAUCAAUCUGUUUACUUGAUGUCAUUAGGUUCAGUGAGCUAACGACAUGGUAUGAGGCACCUGUGUCUACAAUCCAAACAACUUCAUUUGGUGGUGUAUGCACAAAACUACCACAACAAAACUUGCCUGCUGAGUACAUAAGUGUAGUUGGCUUAUGAGCACCUGGUGUUUGAGAGGUAGAUGAUUGGACUGCUGUGUCCUUGACCCUGACAACGUUCAUGAGUUGAGAAAAUUGAUCUUGUGUGAGUUGGAUAAUGCUUCCUUCACCAGACUGUGUGGCUUCAUGAAUCUGUGGCUUGUAGGUCACAUGAUUUGGAGUGAAAGGAGGUCUGGAAACAUUCUGUGGCCUUAGUCCUGGCUGUGGCAUGGGCCUAGGUGUGACCCCUGGAGGGAAGCCGUUCUUGAAGAAGCACCUUUCCACUGUGUGGUUUUGCAUUUUGCAAAAGGCGCAGAACAAUGUCCUUCCUUUCUGAGGCGCUUGUCUAAAACCUCCUUGUUGAUUAGUCUGCUGACCUGCAUAGUUGAUGUUGGAUGAUGGAGCCAGCAUGGUCAUGGAUUCAUUGGUACUUUUGAGCUAUGUUCCAUACAGUUGUCUCUCGUGUUGUAUCAUGCAUUGAACAACCUUAUCAAUGUUUGGAAGUUUAUCACCAAACAGAACUUGUGUGCGAGGGCCAGCAAAAUUCUCAUUGAGCCCUCUCAAGAAAUGUAUGACAUUGUUGGUGUCCUCAUACACAUACACCUUUCUCAUUCCUAGGCAAUCAAGGUGACUAGUUGCAGUACAGUCACAGUUGAACAAUGGUUGGUAGUUCUCAACUUAUCCCUGAGUGUGAUGAUAGAUCCAUAAUACUCAGUCACAGUUUGGUUACCUUGUUUGAGAUUUUAAGUUGUUCCAGUAGUUCUGCAAUCCUGAUGACGUCUCCUUGACCAUAACGAGCUUUCAAACUUUCCCAGGCAUCUUGUGCAUUCUUCAGCCCCAUGAUCGUCUUCCUAAUGCCUGGCUUGACUGAUUGUUGCAACCAGCUCAAAAUCAUGAUGUUGCAGCGAGUCCAGGGCCAGAACAUCGGAUCAUGACCUCUGGUUCCUCUAUGCUUCCAUCGAUGAAUCCAACUUUGUUCUUGGCUCCAAGCGCAUUAUGUAUCGCUUUGCUCCAGUCAGUAUAGUUGCUCGUGGUGAGCUUUUCAGUGACAAGUGAUUGGCCUGGCUGCUCACUACCAUGGAGGUAGUAAGGAUCAUCCAGAGGGUAUUCAGCUGCUGCCAUGGUUACUCUCAACCUCGCUCUGAUACCAUAUUAGUUCAUUUAGGAUUCUAGCAAAAGGCUCAACGUUUUCAUUAAUGGUUUGAUUGUUCAUAUACAGGAAAUGAGAGGGACUAAGCGACAAGCUGCACAGCUGGAUUGCUGGCUGAAAGAGAGAGCUUGCAGCUCUUAACAGAAUUUGUAGAAAGAACAGAGAAAGGACGAUGAGCUGUUUGAUGCAGGGUACAACGGUGAUGUUUCACCCUUAUCUUCGUUGAUGAUGGAACGCUCCGUUUCACUUAACUUGUUGGUGCAGAGAGGAAGAACGCACCGUUUCACCUAAGCGUUGAAGUGGAGGGAUUUUGGCAGGAAAUGAAAAUCAUUUCAUCAUCUAAUAGGGCUGUCCUCGAAAUCAGGAACCUCCUUCAACGGGGAACAUAACUUUAGGUCCUAUUACUCCAGCCUCCGGGUGGCUCAUCGGUGACUAGAUGAUACUCUGACCGGCGGCUCUCAUCCGAAACUCGGACCCUGGUUGACCUACCAGAAGAAAACAUGGAAAGUAAAGAGAAAGAAAUCUCCACCGGCACAAUCUAUGCCAACGGCUAGUGCGUUAAGCAAGAAAGGAAAUGAGCAAAUCUUUCACCAAAGGAAAAAGGAAGUUUUUGCAACGAAAUUUGGUCCAAAAAAUCAAUCUAAGGAUUUCAAUGGAGUCAGGGAAACUUCCGGUACUUCACAUCCAGCUAAGAGUGCAGCGCAGGGGAAGACUCCUAAGGCUUCCACCUGAAUCCCAUUGUAAAGGAUCCGGAGGCCCAAUCAGUAAAGGUUCAUCCUCGUCCCUCCACUAAGUCAAAGGUUGUUACUGGAUCGAGCCGAAUCCCAACAGCCUUAUGGACUUCCAAUUUGAAUCAGACCUGAGCUAGGGAUAUGGGGAAAAUAUCGCUUACCUUCUCGGCUCCAAGCAUCCAACAAGAUCAGAAUUCUUCUUCGAUUUCAGCGGUCAUUGUUUCCCAGAAUUUACCAGCCACGAGUUUAAGUAUGUCUAAGGGGACCAAGAUGGAUAAUACUAUGGUUGCUGAUCCAGCUUCUCUCCCAUCAAUUAGUGUUUUAGGGCAAAAAUUUGCUAAUAGCACACCUAUUAUUCCGUUAUCGGCCGCGACCCAAGCUUUGGACAGCACUAUAUCAAUUUCCCAACAAAUCAAACGUACUUAUAACACGAGGUCUACCAAUGAAGGCCUUCCUUCCAAGGGCGUUCAAGGAAUUGAUCAAUUAUGUAAUAAACCAGUUACCAAACUUGAGAAGCGGUACCUUUCCAAAAAAAUGGUGCCAAAACUUUAAUUGGAGGGGUUUGAGUUUGAGUUCGUGGUUAAGAAGUCUAAGGCUACUACUCUAGCUCAAUUGAGGAGUGGUUCUAUUACGGAACUGGGGUACCAGAAGCCAACAAUUUUCGAUCUUAAUCGGGAGAUGACUGAGGAAGCUGAUACGAGUGAAAUGCUUGAUGAAAAGGGUGUUGCGGAGGUCUACGAGAUCCCCACCACUGUUGCCUGAUCUUUGGGUUUCUUCAUCCCUUUUCUUUUUCCUCCUCUUUUAAUUUCCCUAUGUUUAGUUUUCUUUCUUAGAACUACCGGGGAGCCGGCCAUAAAAACUUUGCUUAAUAUUAUUGCCACGUGCACAAGCCUUCCAUUGUUGCAAUUCUUGAACCGCGCAUCAGUGGCUCUACGACAGCAGUGGUUAUCAAGAAACUUCCUUAUUCAGAUUCCUUUGUCAUUGAUGCAAUUGUAGGUGAAAUCUGGGUCCUUUGAAAUAGCGGGGAUAUGAAGAUCGAGAUCAUUUUCUCUACCACCCAGGUGGUUCAUGCUUGUAUUACUAAAGACGAUAGUCACUUCUGCCUUGUCCCUUUUGUAUAUGGUGUCCCACGAAGACACACACGUUGGCCUCUAUGGGAAGAGCUUGUUGCCUUUAGUCGUACUACCAAUCACCCAUGGCUUGCUUUGGGCGACUUUAACGCUACUCUCACUGCUCUGGACAAAUUUGAUGGCAUAGAUUUUGAAAUGGGCCAAGCAGAUGAUUUUGCUCUUUGUCUUAACAGGUGUGGACGUUUUUACCUUGGCUUCUCGGGUCCAAAAUAUACCUGGAAAUGGGGAACCUUGCUGGUUUGCCUUGAUCGGGUUGUGGUUAACUCGAACUGCUUCUCCAAUUUCCAGAAUCUUUCAAUCGACACUUACCCAAGGUCAAAUCGGACGACCGGCCAAUCCAGGUAUUUAUCACUAAACUUGAUCUUUCUAAUCAUCUUAUUCGCCCAUUUCGCUUUAAUGCUUACUAGCUAAGCCAUGAGGAUUUUCCGUGCUUCCUCCAAGUGGAAUGGCUGGCCGGGGAAGGUAUUCCUUUUGCGUUGCACGCAUUUCAUAAUCAAAUCUCUCAAUGGAACAAAAACGUUUUUGGUAACAUCUUCAAGCGCAAACAGACUUUAGAGCACCAGCUCCUUUGUGUGGAGAUGAAGAAUGAGGUCUCAGCUACCAAUAACUCGCUUGCUGCUGAAUCUAGAAUUCGCAAGGAACUUGAAAUCAUGUUGUGGCAAGAACAAAUGUUCUUGCUCCAGAAAUCCCGAAUUCUAUGGAUGCGUGAUGGAGAUCAAAAUACCAAGUAUUUUCAUACCUCUACUAUUUAUCACCGCAACAAUAAUCGCAUUCAGGGUCUGAAAGAUGGGACUGGUAACUGGAUUUUUUAUCCAGCAACCCUUUCUUGUAUGGCUAGAGAUUUUUUUGUUAAUCUUUUCCAUACAUAUGACGUCCAUUGUACGUCCCUUCCAGAUUGUACCUAGAGUGUUCUCGCCUUGGAGGAUCAGGAUACUAUUAAUCGUCCCUUUACCCCCACUGAUGUCCAGGCUGCUCCUAAAGACAUGAGGCAACUCAAAUAUCCAAGGAAGGGCGGCUUCCACCCUCUCUUUUUUCAAAAGUGUUGGAAUGUCGUGGUUCAGGACUUUAUGAAUUAUGUUCUUGUCGGUUCUAGGGAUCCGAGAUUGAUUUUACCGAUCAAUGAGACCAUUAUUGUGAUGACUCCUAAGGUCAAAACACCUUAGAAUAUGACUCAAGUUUGGCCUAUUAGCCUAUGCUCGAUGCUCUACAAAAUCAUUACUAAAUGCUUGGCUAAUAGGAUCAAAGGCUUCAUGAAUGCUUUUAUUGGUCCCAAUCAAACGAGUUUUGUCCCUAGCAGGUAGAUUUCGGAAAACAUCAUUAUCCUUCAGGAAGUAGUGCAUUGCCAUCCACUCAAAAUAGGUACGCAAGGGUCUUUUGUUAUUAAACUGGAUCUUGCUAAAGCCUAUGGCAGGAUUGAAUGGAGCUCUAUUGAGGAUACCCUCCGGUGAGCUCCUUUUCCGGAAGAUUUCAUUCGCACAACAAUGACAUGUAUCUCCUAUGCUUCCCUUCAAAUCUAAUGGAAUGGUACUCUAACGGAAGUUUUCAAACCAAGAUGCAGUCUUCUGCAGGAAUGUCCUCUUUCUCCCUACCUUUUUACACUUUGUAUUGACCGCCUAAGUAAUCUCAUCUCCAGUAGGGUUGCCUAUGAGGAUUGGACUCAUGUGAUGCUUAGUCGUGGAUGUGACACCCUGAAUUCUGGUUCGGUUUAAGUUUCGGUUUGAUAUAAAUCUUACUCGAUAAGUAGGAGUCGGGAGUCGGAAACCGGAUUAAUUUAAUUAAUUCGAAGAGUUGACUUAAUAGCUGUCCAAGUAUUAAAGGCUUGGAAGGCUUGGGAUACUUAUCGAGUUGACUAGAUCAAUUGAAAGAAGAGUUAAGUCUCUUUAAUUAUUAGUUAUGAGCUUGGAGGAGUCUAGGCCAUUAGAUGCGUCUAACGGUGAGGUAGUCCCUUGAUCCAUUCAAAAGAAGGAAAGUGGGCUGCCAUUCGGAAAUGCGUAUGUGGUAUGUGGGUCAUGGGGCCCACCUGAAGUUGUGGUGACGUGAUGGCCUUGGACCGUUGGAUUGAUCCGGUGGACGGAUUGGGCCCAUAACCAUUCAAGAGAUGGGGGGUUAGGGUUUUUGGUUAUCUUCCCUAGACCUAAAUCGUGAACAGAUAGUUCACUUUCUCUCCCAAGAACCUGGCGAAGACGGCCGUGUCGAAGUAGCGAUAGAUGGCUGGUCAAAGAGAGGGAGGACCUCGAUGGAGAUCGGGAUCAACAGCUGGAACGGUGAGGCGACCCUGGUGCAUGGAGCAGAGAACAGGCGGUCUCGAUGGCGGCAGUGGCAGUGGCGCUCCUGGAUCCAUGGAACGGGUGGAGACAAAGCUAGACUCGUUGGCAACGUUUAAACAAAUCUGAUGAUGGGUAGAGGACGGUGAAGACGAAGAGAGAGCCGGUGGCAAGGUUUCCAGGGUGAUUGGAGGUCACCAGAAUCUAGGUAGAGUUCACCGGCGGCAAGGACUUGCCAGGGAAGAAGAGGGAUCAAAAUGCACGUCUCAAAAGUUAAGUGACUGAUCUGUGAGUUUGGCCAUUCUUAAGUCUUGCUUUCGUAGUUCUGAACUUGUGGAGGAUAGUUUACAGUUAAGGACGUGGCUCAAAUUUGUCAAUGAAUGAAAGUUGUGGAUUCGUUAAUUUAACGGAGGCAGUUAGGGGACUAGCGAGUUUCAGAUUAUUACAAAGAAGUAAAUGGAGCAUAACUGAAUUGUUUCGACUCCAAACAGCGCACAGCAAGAAGCUACAAACUUAUGGCAGCGAGAGGAAUCAUGUCAAGUCAGAAUCAGAGAUGUUAGCUCUUCAUAAGAGGUGGGGGGUUUAGAAUUACUUUUGUUAUUUAAGCGAAGAAUUGUAAUAGGUUGUCAGGAAUCCAAUGAUUCGAUUUUCAGUGUGUUCUAGAGCAGGGCUCUCAUGACUGUACAGUAGUGUGUGAUCUACUGUACAUGUGUUAUGUUUAGAGCGUGAGCUCUCAGGCUAUACACUAGCGUGCGAUCUAUUGUACAUAUUGUUAUUUUAGUUCGAGCUUUAGGUCAUGUCGUUUGAACUGUGGCGUGUGAUUCACAGUUCAUGAUAGGACAUGAUUAGGCCUAGCUAGAUUAGCUCCCGAUUAUACAUUGGUCGCCCGCCCUUUGGAUUGCGCAAUCCCCUAGGAUUCAUUCAAGUUCAGGUAGGACGUGACAAGUAAGCCUUCAGUGCUGCUCUUAGCUAGGGGUGGUAACAUUAGGACGAUACCUACAGGACCACAUGGUCACUUUGUUUAGGUAGACUUCUCAUUCUAUCCUUAGAAAGGUUCAUUAUAGGCUCAGUUCAGGUUCAUAAUAGGCUCAAUAAAAUCUCAUUUUUAGUUUUCGUUCGACGCACGACUAGUUUAGCCACUUAGUGCUUAUCACUGACCCCGUUAGAUAUUAUUUACCUUGGUGUAUUUAUGUGUUAAGUCACAAGUACUGGAGCUGGUAGUAGAGAGAGAGCUAGUCGGGGUUUUGAUAUCUUUUAUAUUGUUGUUUUUAUGUAGUUUCAAACCAAAGUUGCAUUUCUUUUAAUUUCUUGUGAUUUGGGAUCUAGGAUCUGAGUUUUUCAGUUUUGAUAAUGUAUUCCAGUUCAGCUUUUAAUAUUUAAUGCUGGGUUAGUAUAUUUAGAGUUGAGUUCUGGUUCAGGCUGACACCCGAGUAGGACUUUUUGGUUAAACCUGUGGUUCGACCGGGACUCUUAGGGUGGGGUUUCACAGUGGAGAUCCUAGUUUUUUGCAUCUCUUUUUCGCUAAUGAUUUAGUCCUUUAUGGUAAGGCUUCCCUGGAUCAAUGCUAGGUCAUUAAUGAGUGCCUAAACCAGUUUUGUAAUGCUUCAUGUCAAUUGGUUAGCUUUGAUAAGUCUUGCAUUUUCUUUUCCAAGAAUACUUGCUCGAGUCUUAGGAAGCAUAUAUAUGACUCCCUUCAUUUUAAAGAAACUAAGGACCUUGGGAAGUAUUUGGGAGUGCCUGUUUACAUGGUAGAAUGACUAAAAUGACCUAUCAAUUGGAUUGUAUUGAUUCUAAGUUAGCUAGCUAGACAUCGAAGUCCAUGUCCCUUACUGGUAAUGUGACUCUGGCUACUUCCUUCCUUAAUGCUAUUCCUACAUAUGUUAUGCAAACAUCAGUUCUCCCUAUUGAUAUUUGUAACAAAAUUGAUAAUUGAAUUCGUAACUUUGUGUGGGGUAUCCUCCUUGAGGAGAGGAAACCCCACUUGAUUUUUUGGGAUAUUGUGUGAAGGCCGAAUUCGAAAGACUAAGGUGGCCUAUGACUUCGAAAGGCAAAUGAGUUGAAUGAUGCCUACCUUAUUAAGCUCGACUGACACAUUCUGACCAAACUAGUAGCAUUUUGGGUACAUCUCCUUUUAUCAAAAUAUACCAAGGACUCUGCUGAUGGUAUCAAGCUCAUGCAUAAAUCGAGAUCCUUAUACCUUUUGGCGCGGUAUUCAUCGGAUCUAGAAGUUCGCUCACUGUGGGACACGAUUCAAUAUAAAGAGUGGGCGCACUACUAACUUCUGGUUUGGUACGUGGACGAAUAGCUAGUUCGUCUUACUGAUUUUGUCGACUGCAACAUUGGUUAUGUUGUUGAGAAACUGACAGUGAGGGAUAUGGUGACUGGUGAGCGACAAUUGAACUAGGAGCUUCUGAACAACUGUCCUAAUAAUUCUGCUUUUGGAGUCGGUUAGAGGCAUACCACCACGGUGCAGCGAGGCAGAUGAUAGCUUCCUCUGGGGGCCCGAUCCUAAGGGCCAAUUCACCUUAACGAGCGCAUACAACAUGCUUACAGGGAUUAAUGACACUGAUUCUAACUUUAUAUGGCGUUCCAUCUGGCGAUGGAAAAGUCCCAAUCGUGUAAUGCACUUUCUAUGGCUUGCUUGCCAUAAUCGUUUAUUCACCAAUGAAGAGAGAUUUUGACCCCACAUCGCCUCGUCGAAUACGUGCCAAGUUUGCAAGGUGGCUGUGGAAUUAUACUAUGGCAAAAUCACUCUGGAUUUCAUUUCGUGGCACCAAGAUUUGGAAUGGCUUUUUCAACCAAGACCUAAGUACCUGGCUGCUUACAGGUAUUAAGCAAACCAACGUAGCUCUCGAUUUUUGAAUGACUUGUUGGAUUCUGAUGACACAUCAAAAUGAAGUUAUUUUCGAAAAUGGAUCUGCUACUAGCGAUCAGCUCCGCCUACGAGUCCUUCAUUGGAUCGCCAGGGUUCGUAAGACAAUGAAAGCUGGUACAGUGACAUCUAUGGAUGGUAACUCUUGUCGUCAUGAGAGCCUCAUUGGCUGGAGUCCAUAUGCUGUCUCGGGAAUUAUCAUCAACACUGAUGGCUCGGUCAUUAAACCAAAUUCUAGGGCUGCAGCGGGAGGAGUGCUUCGCGAUGUUCUUGGCCGGCGUAUUGCUGCUUUUGCGACUAAGUUAGGCUCCUACUCAAUUACGAGUGUUGAACUUCGAGGGACACUUUAAGGGUUAUGGAUUGCUUGGGAUUUGGGAUAUCGAACCAUCAACCUGUAAUUAGACUCUACUUGCACCGUGUCCAACAUCUUGGGCACCUCGCCGAAAGACAAACGCCACUCUAGCUACAUCCACCAAAUCCAAGAACUUUUGAAACGUGACUAGACGGUCCGUAUGACCCACACCUAUCGAGAGGGCAACUGUGUUGCAGAUCUCUUAGCCCAUCUUGGGCACUUUGAUAACGCUAGAAUUUGUAGUAGUUAUCUAUCCUUUUUAUACAUGUUUUGAGUGAUUAUUAGUAUGUUCGAGCUUCAUUUCCAUAUGAUUUCCUGUUUUGGCAUCAUGUGUUUAGAUCCGUUCAUUUCGACUGUUUCGGUCCAUUUGAUGUUUGGUUUGUAGUAUUUGUCGCCUAUAGGUACUAUGGAGAUAGGUGAUCUGUGGUGCGUAGCAUAAUUGGAGUUCGAACGAAAAGUCGAGAAGGAAAAUGGAGUAGCAGAGGGGCUACAUGCCGUGCAGCCCUUGCACUUGUCAAAAUGCCCGACCUCAAACCAAGGGAACGGCGUGCACCCCUGCAUGCGGUUCCAACCUUUUAGCUACGUGGGACACUAGAGGAAAGAAGAAGCAUGACAUGCACCCUUGCACGCCGUUCCCAUCUUUGUGCUACGUGGAACACUGAAGAUAGGAAGGUGCACGGCGUGCACCCUCCAAUUCCGGCUGCUCCCUAUAAAAUGGCAGAUUUUGAGGAAUGCGAACAUUCUUCCCCAACUUCAUUUUUCCUCUAUUUUCCUCGAGUUUUCUCUGCAAAAACCCAUACCAAACCUCCUCUAGAAGCUCAAUUGAAGAUCCAAAUGAGUUCCUUUCAAGGAUUGGAGCUAGGAUUGAAGAUAGAAGACCAAAAGCAACGAUUGAAAGAAGAACAAGCCAUUAUCUCUCCGACAAGAUGAUGGUUAGGGUUUCUUUUGAUUUUUUUUCUUCUAGCAUUAUGAGUAGCUAAAUCCAUAGAGAUUCUUCGUUGAAAUGUAGGAUAUGAGCCAUGAUACAUGUUUCAAUGUUUAAGAACAAUGAUUGUGGAUAUUUGGAUUGUAAUGAAAGAUUGUCUUGUUUGAUUGGAUUUUAACCUAAUUCUUGUUACAGCUAGAAUUAGGUCAAAUUUAUGGAAUCCUUUGUUCAUGAUAGACUUAGGAAUUAGUAAGAUUAACGAUUGAGGAAUUUGUCUGAAUAACUUCACAGUUAUUUUGGAGAUCAAGUUUUUGGGGACGUUGCAGAGGACUUCUCUCGUUCCUUCGAAAGGACUUAGUCGGCGCCAAUUUAGACAUUCGACUCCAUUUUAGUUUUGUUUUCCCGUCUCUUGGUUGUUUGUUUGGGUUUCACUUUGGUGUGUUGUUUUUGGAUGAGCAGGAGUUUAGGUGCAGUUUAUGAGACAGUCUAGCCGAAUCCGUGAGCAACCACUUCGGAAUCUACAAAGCAAUCUCACACCGCCUCGACUUGUGCUCUCUCCUCAACAUCAACCCAUCCUCAACUUAGAGAUUGUGCUACCGGUACCUUCACCACCUAAUUCACCACUCUCAGCGUCCUCUUCAUCACCAACGAUUUCUUCUCAGUCCAACUCGUCAAGCGAAGAAGAAGAUUUCAAAGAACCAAUCAUAAUGGAAAAUGCAGCACGCACGCUUGGGGACUAUACUAACCCUACACUCGCAGUCACUGGCGUGAGCAUAGUUCCUCCGUCGGUUGACAACCGACAUUUUGAGUUGAAGACCACAUAUGUCCAGAUGGUGCAGCAGCGACCAUAUUCAUGCAACGAUCACGAGUGCUCGAGUCAGCAUCUGAGACACUUCAUCGAGAUCGUGGAGCUCAUGAAGUUCAACGGGGUCCAUGCGGAUGUGGUUCCCAUGAGGCUUUUCUCCUUCUCGCUCCAAACGAAGGCCAAAGCUUGGUUGGACAACCAACCGAUCAACUCGUUCUGGACGUGGGAUGCUUUGGCUAAAGAAUUCAUAUAGGAGUUCUUUCCGCCCUACAAGACAGACGCAAUCAGGGCGCAUAUCAGUAACUUUCAGCAGAGAUAUGGAGAGCUCUAUCACAAGACUUGGGACCGUUUCCAAGCCCCGUUGUACUCCUGCCCCCAUCACAACAUGGAGGAGUGGACUUUAGCAGACAUUUUCGCGCACGCUCUUGACUAUGAGAACACGCGAAUGAUCAACCAAGCUGCUGAUGGUGAUCUGAAGUCGCUUACUCCGGCGAGGUAUUUGUAAUUAUUCAGGGAAAUGGCUGUUAAGACUAAUAGUUAAGCGUGCCAACAAGCACCGAGGAGCUUACAGGCACCAGUUGCUCCACCGUCAUCAAGCACGCGUCAGCAAGUCCUUGACGACAACUCCGACCAAUCUCUCCAUCUUCUCCAUUCCAAGGUUGAUGCAUUAGUGCAUCAGAUGAACAACAUGGUCUUGCCCAAGGCACCAAUCAAAGAGGCCGCACCACCUCCCACACCUCAACCACAGAAGGCAGUGAUGGUGUACUACUGCGAGGGUUGUGGACAUGAAGGACAUAGUGUGUCAUCAUGUCAACUCUUUUCAGAAGAAGCUGCUCCUAAAGAAGAUGUGAAGAAUUUCGAGCAUGUGGAUUAUGUCCAAGGGGGUCAGAAUCAAUAGGUUGGGUACAAUACAGGUGGUUAUCAAAAUAACUUCCGACCCAAAAAAGGUGGAUACUAUAAUUAUCCAUGGAACAAUCAAGGCUACCGGAACUAUCAACAAGGUCUGAGACCUCAAGGGCAAGUUCCUAACCAACUACAGGCAGCUCCUCAACGCCAAAGUCCUCCACGACAACCAAACUGCGGGUACAACCAAGGGUUCCAAGGAAAUCAAGGCUACCGUCAGGAAAAUCAACAGGGUUACCCACCCCAAGGACAAAAACAAGGUUUCAAACAGCAGGGUUAUCAAGCCCCUCAAGCAUCUCCUCUCGCGUUUCAACCAGCAGCUGUACCUCAAGUUGGAUCUUGAUCCUCAGCAGCACCUCCGACAGACAACAACGCCAUGCUACUUCAACUCCUUAAGAACCAACAGACUUUCAUCCAUAACCAACAAACUUGCAUCAACAAGUUGGAAGCUCAAAUGGAAAGCCUCCUCUCCAUUCGACAACCAGGUACCUUACCUGGAAAUACUAAGGAGAAUCCCAAAGGUGAAUAUGCUGAAUUGAAGACCAUCACUACUAGGAGUGGGAAACAAAUAAAUCUCGUACCCAUAAUAGUAAAGCCUCCCAUAGUGGUUCCCCCAAAGUUGGUUGCUGAAUAUGAAGGAAUGAAUGAGGAUGAGUUAGCAGACGAGAAUGCAGCUAAUGAUAAUGAAGAUGGAGCCAAAGGGGCUAAAGAAGAAGUGGUCUCCCAACCCAUGGGAAAGGGGCCAAUAAAGACCAAUGGAGCUAGCUCUAGCUCAAAACCGGUUUUGGCGCCUUACAAGCCAAAGGCCCCAUAUCCCAACCGACUCGACGAGGAUUCUUGAGCCAGGAGUUUUGCCCAGUUUGUGCAGAUGCUAAGGGGAGUACGACUCACCCUUCUUCACUGAAGCCAUUGCCAAGAUGCCAAUGUACGCCAAGUUUUUGAAGGAGAUCUUCACCAACAAGAGGAAGCUGACGGAAGUAGCCAACGUCACCCUCAAUGAGCAGUGCUCAGCAAUCGUCUCCACAUUCAUUCCGACCAAGCUCAAGGAUCUGGGUAGUUUCCAUAUCCCUUGUAGAAUUGGUGAAUUAGAUAUUGAAACAGGCUUAGCUGAUUUCGGUGUUAGCAUAAACAUAAUGCCAUAUUCUAUGUAUAGAGCACUAGACCUAAAUGAGCUCAACCCAACUAGGAUAAGAAUUCAGUUAGCAGAUAAGUCUUUGAAAUAUCCUAGAGGAGUGGUAGAAGAUGUUUAUGUUAGAAUUGGAAAUUUUGUGUUCUUAGUUGACUUUGUGGUGGUCGAUACCGGAGAUGCUGAUUUAUCUUUUAUCUUGGGUAGACCUUUCCUCAAUACAUAUAAGGCAAUCAUAGAUGUAUUUAAGGGAACUCUCACCUUGCAUGUUGACAAGGAACAUGCCACCUUCAAUUUGACUAAUAGUAUGAAAUUUACUCAUGCUCAAGAUGACAUUGAUUUUGAUGAUGUUGAAUUUGAGGAUGUGGAUGCCAUUGCUUCAGCUUUUCAGGUUAAUGGUUUCUUUGAUCUAGAUGCCUGGGAUUUGUCCUUAAGUAAUCAACUGCUGCAGGAAUCAUCUGACAAAUAGGGUUUCGACAUAGAACAGACUGAAGGUCAAGCAAAAGUUACUCUGCUCAUGGGAGUAUCCACAGUGAAGAGGACGUCAUACGAGGAGCCGUCCGAGCUCGAGCUCAAACCGCUUCUAGCUCAUUUAGAGUACGCGUUCCUUGCAUAAGGCUCCAAACUACCAGUCAUCAUCAACUGGUCUCUCACACCGGAUAAAAAAGAGAGGUUGGUGAAUCUUCUCCGACAUAACAAGGAAGCGAUUACGUGGCAAAUUUAAGAUAUCAAGGGCAUCAGCCCCAACUUUUGCACACACAAGAUUUUGAUGGAAGAGAACUUCCAUCCGGUAGUUCACCCUCAACGGAGACAGAAUCCAAAGUUGCAAAACGUUGUCAAGAAGGAAGUUGUGAAGCAGAUGGAUGCUGGCAUCAUCAACCCCAUUUCAGACAGUGAAUGGGUUAGUCCGGUUCACGUGGUGCCGAAGAAAGGAGGCUUCACAGUGGUUGAGGAUAAGAAGAAGGAACUCAUCUCCACCCAUAUUGUCAUCGGGUGGAGAGUUUGGAUUGAUUUCAGGAGACUGAAAGAGACUUCUCAGUAUAUGGGGAUUCCUUUGACCAGUGCUUGCAGAACCUGAAGAGAGUGUUGCAGCGAUGCGAAGAAACCAACUUAGCCUUAAGUUGGGAAAAAUGCCACUUUUAGUAUGUGAGGGAAUCGUACUUGGGCAUAAGGUAUCUAGUAAAGGGAUUGAAGUGGAUAAGUCGAAGCUAAAGACGAUAGCAAAUCUUCCACUCCCUUCUUCAGUCAAAGGUGUGCGGAGUUUUAUGGGCCAUGCGGGAUUCUACCGUCGAUUUAUCAACGACUUCUCCAAGAUAGCAACACCUCUGAACCGCCUUCUAGAAAAGGAUGUUGCAUUCACCAUCACAGAUGAGUACAUGCAUUCUUUUUGAGCUACUAAAAAAAACUCACAAGUGCGCCAAUCCUCACCUCAUCGGAUUGGUCUCUCCCGUUUGAGCUGAUGUGCGAUGCCAGUGAUUUUGCCUUGGGAGCUUUUGUAACACCCAUACUACUAGCAUGUUCAUUUUAAAAUAAAACAGCGAAGCAAUAAUAGGGUGCUACACUACUUAUACCGUAUAUAUCAUUUAAUGUUUACACUCAUCCAAUUAAUUCCAUCAUCAUAAUCUAGGAUUGAGUUUAUACGUACUCGUAUAAUUAAUUUGUCAACAAAAUUUUCUCACGAUGUCAUAUAUGACUUAUUGAUUUUUCACCAUACAGUACACUAUAACAAAAGUCCAGCCGGACACAUAUACAUAUAGAAUUAGAAGUCUCGAGCUUCACAGGCUCAUACCAGAGUAACCAGAUACUUGCCCUCAAGGCCACUAUAUUUUACAAAACCAUAUCUCACAUUAUACUAGUACACAACCACUCAUAACAUAUGCACAUGAUGGAAGUAAGAGUCUCAAAUAAACUUUAAACACAAAACGAGGAUCAAGACACAAUCUUCAAUAUCUCCAUGGCGUCGUCACCAUGAUGACUGACCCCGGAGCUCGAUGAUACCAUUUUGCAGUGUGUGACCCAGUAAAGCCUACUGUCGCUCUGAAAUGGAAAGUAAGGGUCAGUGCUAAUCACUGAGUGAGGAUCUACGUCCUAAUCACUCUAUGGUACAAAUAUUCAUAUGGAAAGUAUACAACAUAUAACACAUUAGGCUAAUUCUAUAAUCUAAUUUAUAUCCAUAUUUUAUUUGAGAUCCUGACUCACAUAUGCUGACGACCGACGUAGCGUAGAGUUAGUGGUACUAAAAUGACGCACGUAGAGUUAGUGUGGCGCUUAAGGUCCAUUAUACCUCGGAGCUAGCUUUCCUUUUCUCCCAAAUCGCAUUAGACCUUUCCAAGGAGAUACCUUAAGAAAAACCUUUUCCCCCACCUCAUAACUGAUCUCACGAGUUCGACGAUCUGCAUACUAUUUCUGACGAUCCUGAGCCACUCUGAGUUUUUCCUGAAUCACUUUCACCUUAUCAGCUGUUUCCUGAACUAACUCUGGCCCAGUUAUUUGUCUUCUCCUUCUUCAUCCCAACUCAACAGAGUUCUAGACUUUUGUCCGUACAAUGCCUCAUACGGAGCUAUACCCAGACUACUAUGGUAAGAAUUAUUAUAAGCAAACUCUACCAAUGGUAACAACCUUGUCCAAGGUCUUUCAAACUCAUUUACACAGGUUUGUAGCACCUCCUCCAAUGUGAGUAUAGUUCUCUCGGUUUGUCCAUCAGUCUGUGGAUGAUAUGUCGUAGAAAAGUUCAACAUUGUCCCUAAAGCCUGAUGCAAACUUCCCCAGAAAUGUGAUUUGAAGCUCGGGUCUCGAUCCGACACAAUUGAGAGUGGAACACCAUGAAGUCGAACUAUCUGCAAACUAUAUGCUCCACAUAUAACCUUGCCAAUAUCUCAUUGUUAGGCUUGUAUCGUAUUGGAAUAAAAUGAGCCACUGUUGCCAGUCUAUCCACAAUCACCCAUACUGCAUCUUUCCCAUCCUGUGUAGGUGGAAGUUCGCUUACAAAAUCUAUAGUAAUGUGCUCAAAUUUCCAUUCUGGAAUGGGUAACGACUGCAAUUUACCCGCUGGUGCCUGGUGUUCCAUCUUUGUCCUUUGACAUACCAAACAAGUUAGGACAUGUUCAGCUACNNNNNNNNNNNNNNNNNNNNNNNNNNNNNNNNNNNNNNNNNNNNNNNNNNNNNNNNNNNNNNNNNNNNNNNNNNNNNNNNNNNNNNNNNNNNNNNNNNNNNNNNNNNNNNNNNNNNNNNNNNNNNNNNNNNNNNNNNNNNNNNNNNNNNNNNNNNNNNNNNNNNNNNNNNNNNNNNNNNNNNNNNNNNNNNNNNNNNNNNNNNNNNNNNNNNNNNNNNNNNNNNNNNNNNNNNNNNNNCUUCUUUUUGCCUCUCUUUUAUUUGAUCAUGAAGUAAAGGUCUGAUAGUCAAACGAGCCAUCAAUGUUUCCAUCUCAUCCAUUUCCAAGUCCACUCUUAAGGCUCGAAGAUCAACCAACUUUGGAUGUCGCUCCUUUCUACUCAAUGCAUCUGCCACAACAUUAGCUUUUCCAGGAUGGUAAUCAAUGGUAAAAUCAUAAUCCUUUAGUAACUCCAUCCACCUCCUCUACCGGCUAUUUAGUUACUUUNNNNNNNNNNNNNNNNNNNNNNNNNNNNNNNNNNNNNNNNNNNNNNNNNNNNNNNNNNNNNNNNNNNNNNNNNNNNNNNNNNNNNNNNNNNNNNNNNNNNNNNNNNNNNNNNNNNNNNNNNNNNNNNNNNNNNNNNNNNNNNGUAGGAUAGUUAACCUCAUGGGGUCGUAGUUGCCUUGAUGCAUAAGCAAUUACUUUUCCAUCCUGCAUUAGUACACAUCCCAACCCCUGAUGGGAUGCAUCACUAUACACCACAUAUUCACCCAUAGAAGUGGGUAAUGUGAGUACUGGUGCGGUAGUGAGUCUAGUCUUUAACUCCUCAAAACCGUCUUGGCACGUCUUAUCCCAACUAUAAGUCAUACCCUUUCUCAAGAACUUCGUCAAAGGCAUAGCAAUUUUAAAGAAUCCCUCAAAAAACCUUCGAUAAUAUCCAGCCAUACCUAGGAAGCUUCAUAGUUCUGACACAUUGAUGGGUGGCUCCCACUUAAACACAACUUCAAUGUUUCUCGGGUCCACCUCUAACUCUUUUCCAGAUAUCAAACCACAGCUUCAAUGUUUCUCGGGUCCACCUCUAACCCUUUUCCAGAUAUCAAGUGACCAAGAAAUAUUACUUCCUUAAGCCAAAAGGCACACUUUGAAAAUUUACCAUAUAACUCUUAUCCCUAAGGAGAUUCAAUACCAUCCUAAGGUGCUCUACGUGCUCCUCUUUACUUUUUGAGUAUAUCAGGAUGUCGUCAAUAAAUACUAUCAAAAAUUUGUCAAGAAAUUCAUGGAACACCUUGUUCAUGAGUGCCAUAAACGUUGCUGGUGCAUUAGUCAAUCCAAAUGGCAUCACUAAGUACUAAUAGUGUCCAUAAUGAGUACGGAAUGAUGUUAUAGGAAUGGCUGAUUCAGAAACCCUCAAUUGAUGGUAGCCAGAUCUGAGAUCAAUCUUGGAAAAUACUGAUGCACAUUGAAGCUAGUCAAACAGGUCAUCAAUCCUAGGCAAAGGGUACCGAUUCUUAACUGUCACUCGAUUCAGACGACGAUAAUCUAUGCACAUCCUCAUCGAUCCAUCCUUCUUCUUUACAAACAAUACAGGUGCUCCCCAAGGUGAGACGCUCGGUCUUAUGAAACCUUUGUCCAAGAGCUCCUGUAAUUGCUUUUUCAGCUCAGCCAACUCCACUGGUGCCAUCCUAUAUGGUGCUAUUGAAAUGGGUGCAGUUUCUGGCACCAACUCGAUAUCAAAAUCAACCUCUCUUUCAGGAGGAAGUCCUUGAAAUUCUUCUGGAAAUACAUCUAGAAACUCCCUUACUACCGCUACCUCUUCCAUUUUCUCAGUGUUUUCCAUGGUCACAUGGGCAAGGUAUGCUUCGCAUCCAUUUUGAAUAAGCUUGGAAGCCUGAAUAGCUGACAAGAAUGGGGAUCUUUCAUGCUCCUUCCUUUGUAUACCUUUAAACAAAAUUUUCCCCUUUCCAGGAAGUUUAAUCUUAACUUCCUUCUUCGACAAUUCAACACCACCCCAUGUUGAGUUAACCAGUCCAUUCCGAGGAUUACAUCAAACUCGUCAAAUGGUAGCAACAUUAAAUUUGCUGAUAGCGAUUUGCUGAUAGCGGAACUCCUUCAACGUUUAAGAAAAUGUUCCGAAUAACUGAUUUUAUCUCCGCAGUUUUCCCCACCGGAGUUCUAACCUCAAAACUAUACCCCAACUCCUUAGGUACCACUUUUAGCAAUAGUGCAAAUUGGCAGGAAAUGAAAGAAUGUGUGGAACCAGUAUCAAAUAAGGCAUAUAAUGUAUGUCCAAUGAUAGAGAGCGUACCCAUAACCGUGUCUGUCGCAAACUCAGCCUGCUCCUGAGUCAUGGCAUAUACCCUGCCUUGAGCUUGUUCUCCCGAUUGUUGAUUACCAGAGGGCUGGGAACGACUACCAAGUGGUCGUGAACUAGCUCCCGUACCUCUUCCUCCUUGAGAGCCCACACUUCCCUGAUAGCUAUUACCUUGGUUCCCUCUAAACCCGCUCCCAGAUGGAGCUCUGUUACUCUGUUGAACCGAUACCUCAGAUUGGGCUUGAUCAACCACCAACGGAUAGUUAUUGAGUCGAUGUCUCUGAUCCCCGCAUCUAAAACAACCCCCUAUCAAUAUUCUGCAUGUCCCAAAAUGCCUCCUCCCACAAUGCUGCCAAAUCACUACUAGUGCUUGUGUGUAUGAUGUCUGCUAUCGUGACACAUUCUGAGUAGGUCUAUGAUAAGACAUUCUAGUUGGUCCCCAUUUUGCCACGGGCCCUAUCCAGAGUGGCUCGCAUUCGGGCUUAUCGCUUUUCUUUUUAGAUCCUCCUUAUUUUCUUCCCAUUCCUUAUUUCCCUUGUUGUCUAGAUAUUCGGCGCUUAAAGCAACUUGUUUAAUAUCCUUCCAGCUGGCCAUGUCAGAACUGGAGAUCCCUUUCUGAAUAUUUGUUCGAAACCCUGCCAGAAAACGCUUCUUCAGAAUUGUGUUUCGCUCGGAUGGAAUGGUAUGGUGCCAUCUGGAUAAUCGAGUAAAUUCAAUAUGGUACUUUUGGACAGUCAGAUUUCCCUGCUUCAGUGACAUGAAUUCCAUCGCCUUUUCCUCUUUCCACUAAUCAGUGAUAAAUUCUACUUCGAAUCUUAUUUGGAACUCCUCCCAUCCCAAACUGAAGGGAUCUUCUUCAUACACUGUUGUGGCCUCCCACCCAGUACUGGCCUCCCACCAAGUCCUAGCAUGCCCUCGAAGCAAGAAAACACAGUAGCGAAGCCGCUCGUCCGAUGUGGCUUCCAGCUGGUCAAACGUCGCGUUCAUGUCACGAAUCCAAUCAACAACUACUUGUGGAUCUGUACUUUCCCCAUCAAAUUCCUUCCCUCCAUAACCUUUCAUCCUCUUAGAAUCUAACACUGCUCGAGGUGGGUUCACAUGAAUGCCUCCACCCUAAUCAAGACUCUUGUGCACACUAUAAGAAGAAUGGUCUUUAGUGAUCCUCUUUUAGGAAACUCUUUAAUUUCAAAAACCCCUUUUAGAAAUGCUUUCCAAAUCAUGAUGCCUAUAUGCAACUAACAAUGCAUCACAAAACACACAAUCACUCGAUCACUUGUGCAAAUACGAGUAUGGAAUACCUCCCAUCUUUUGAGGUUCGCGACGCCCCAAGAGAGAAAGUAGCAUACCUAUAAUGCAGAAGACAACGGGGCUCUGAUACCACCAUGUAACACCAUACUACUAGCAUGUUCAUUUUAAAAUAAAACAGCGAAGCAAUAAUAGGGUGCUACGCUACUUAUACCGUAUAUAUCAUUUAAUGUUUACACUCAUCCAAUUAAUUCCAGCAUCAUAAUCUAGGAUUGUGUUUAUACGUACUCAUAUAAUUAAUUUGUCAACAAAAAUUUCUCACGAUGUCAUAUAUGACUUAUUGAUUUUUCACAAUACAGUACACUAUACCAGAAGUCCAGCCGGACACAUAUACAUAUAGAACAGAAGUCUCGAGCUUCACAGGCUCGGACUAGAGUAACCGUACACUUGCCCUCAAGGCCACUAUAUUUUAAAAAACCAUAUCUCACAUUAUACUAGUACACAACCACUCAUAACAUAUGCACAUGAUGGAAGUUAGAGUCUCAAACGAACUUUAAACACAAAACAAGGAUGAAGACACAAUCUUCAAUAUCUACCUGGCGUCGUCACCAUGAUGACCGACCCCGAAGCUCGAUGAUACCAUUUUGCAGUGUGUGAAUCAGUAAAGCCUGCUGUUGCUCUGAAAUGGAAAGUAAGGGUCAGUACUAAUCACUGAGUGAAGAUCUCUGCCCUAUUCACUCUAAGGUACAAUUAAUCAUAUAGAAAGUAUAUAGUAUAUAACACAUAAGGCUAAUUCUAUAAUCUAAUUUAUAUCCAUAUUUUAUUUGAGAUCCUGACUCACAUAUGCUGACGACCGACGUAGAGUUAGUGGCACUAAAAUGGCCCACGUAGAGUUAGUGUGGCGCUUAUCAAAGCCCACGACAAUAGUUAGUUGUGGCGCUUACCAAGGCCCACCGCGUAACAGAAGUGCAAUAAGCACAAUCGCCAGCAUACGGCCCUAAAUAGGUGAUCAAUCAAUUACCAGAUUUAUUCAAUAAUCANNNNNNNNNNNNNNNNNNNNNNNNNNNNNNNNNNNNNNNNNNNNNNNNNNNNNNNNNNNNNNNNNNNNNNNNNNNNNNNNNNNNNNNNNNNNNNNNNNNNNNNNNNNNNNNNNNNNNNNNNNNNNNNNNNNNNNNNNNNNNNNNNNNNNNNNNNNNNNNNNNNNNNNNNNNNNNNNNNNNNNNNNNNNNNNNNNNNNNNNNNNNNNNNNNNNNNNNNNNNNNNNNNNNNNNNNNNNNNNNNNNNNNNNNNNNNNNNNNNNNNNNNNNNNNNNNNNNNNNNNNNNNNNNNNNNNNNNNNNNNNNNNNNNNNNNNNNNNNNNNNNNNNNNNNNNNNNNNNNNNNNNNNNNNNNNNNNNNNNNNNNNNNNNNNNNNNNNNNNNNNNNNNNNNNNNNNNNNNNNNNNNNNNNNNNNNNNNNNNNNNNNNNNNNNNNNNNNNNNNNNNNNNNNNNNNNNNNNNNNNNNNNNNNNNNNNNNNNNNNNNNNNNNNNNNNNNNNNNNNNNNNNNNNNNNNNNNNNNNNNNNNNNNNNNNNNNNNNNNNNNNNNNNNNNNNNNNNNNNNNNNNNNNNNNNNNNNNNNNNNNNNNNNNNNNNNNNNNNNNNNNNNNNNNNNNNNNNNNNNNNNNNNNNNNNNNNNNNNNNNNNNNNNNNNNNNNNNNNNNNNNNNNNNNNNNNNNNNNNNNNNNNNNNNNNNNNNNNNNNNNNNNNNNNNNNNNNNNNNNNNNNNNNNNNNNNNNNNNNNNNNNNNNNNNNAUUAACACAUAUAUUAAAUUAGAUAUAUCAGCAAAGUAACAGAACAUGUAUCAUAUUAAGUAAUAAAUAUGGUAAAGAAGCAUAUAAAUUAUUAAGAUUAAACGGGCAUUACCCUAUCAUGCAUAUAGCCUUAAUAAUAAUAAAAUCAUAAUGGAACGUCUAACCCGGUCGGAUACGCAGGAGACCCUCACCAGAAAUAACCCUUGAGAAAACCGGUAAUAACUUCCGAGUUGAGAUCGUACGUAAUUCCAAGGACUUGAAUUAUGAACCAGGUAUAAGGCAUUGGCUUCUUCUAUAUUUCCUCUAUUUAAGUAUCCUAUCUCCACUAUUUCUGCCUUACAACUUAAUGAAUAACGUACUAUUUAUAAUGGAGAUUGGGGAUGCAAUACUGCUACAACACCUAAAAAGAAUAACGUACUAUUUAUAAUGGAGAUUGGGGAUGCACUACUGCUACAACACCUAAAAACAAAGGAACCAAUUACUUUAACUUAUCCAUAACUUCUUUGUUUGUAUCCUAGGUAUCUGGACAUACCACCCAUCCAAAGAGAUGUCCCCAUGCAUGCAUGGGUGUAAUCUCCCUACACUUGCCAUAUACACUCUUUUUUUGUAUGGCAGUGCAUGGCUAGAUAAGUGAACGUAAAAAUCUAUUUGUGUAGAUAUAUAUCAAUAACUGUGUAGAAACCGUUCUUGUAUAUGUACAUUACCAUGUACCGUAUUAAUUUAGUUGGUACUUUUGGUAUGAUCGGGCUGGAAUGUUACAGCUGUUUUAGGACAAAGAACGGGUAACCACUUCCACCCUAUCUACUAUGCCAGCAAAUCACUGAAUGAUGCCCAAAAGAACUACACCACCACAAAAACAGAGCCGCUAGCAGUGGUGUGUUCGGCACAAAAGAUAAAGAGCUUCUAGCUGUGGUGUUUGCGGUCGACAAGUUCAUAUCCUACCUGGUGCUAUCUCACGCCGUGGUUUUCACUGACCACAAGGCUAUCGGGUACUUGAUGAGCAAUCCAGAUACUAAGCCACGCCUUUUCCGAUGGAUCUUGUUAUUGCAAGAGUUCGACCUAGAGAUUAAGGACAAGAAGGGCUCUAAGAAUGUUGUUGCAGACCACCUCUCCUGAUUGAUGGAAGAGGAGCUACGAAAGCCGGAGGGGAUUCCUAUUCCGGAGUGCUUCCGAGAUGAGAGACUCUUCAUGGUCGUUGCCCAGGUUGUGGAAGGACCAUGGUUUGCAGACAUAGCAAACUACCUCGUCACUAGAUCCUUCCCAAAGGACGUCACACCACAAGGGAAGUGGAAGAUUUUGACGGACAUGAAGAACUAUUUUUGGGACGAUCCGUAUCUCUUCCGUAGGGGUGCGGAUCAGAUGAUUCGACGAUGUGUGCCUUAUGACGAGACCAACUCUAUCCUCAACCACUGCCACGCCGGGCCAGCUGGAGGACAUCUUGGUGCUGACCAGACCUUCCGAAAGCUAUUUGACUCUGGUUUCUGUUGGCCUGAUAUUUAGAAGGAUAGUUUUGACUAUGUGGUAAAUGUAAGAGGUCUGGUAACAUAUCUAAUCGGGAUGAGAUGCCUCAAAAUAAUAAUCUUGUAUGUGCGUAUCUCUUCCGUAGGGGUGCGGAUCAGAUGAUUCGACGAUGUGUGCCUUAUGACGAGACCAACUCUAUCCUCAACCACUGCCACGCCGGGCCAGCUGGAGGACAUCUUGGUGCUGACCAGACCUUCCGAAAGCUAUUUGACUCUGGUUUCUGUUGGCCUGAUAUUUAGAAGGAUAGUUUUGACUAUGUGGUAAAUGUAAGAGGUCUGGUAACAUAUCUAAUCGGGAUGAGAUGCCUCAAAAUAAUAAUCUUGUAUGUGAAAUCUUUGACGUUCGGGGGAUAGACUUUAUGGGACCAUUUUCUUUGUUUAAUGGUCUCGAGUAUAUCCUUAUUGCGGUUGAUUAUGUCUCUAAGUGGGCAGAGGUCGUGGCUCUUCCCACUAAUAAUGCUAGAAUGGUAGGGAAAUUUUUGAUUAAGUUGUUCUCUUAGUUUGGGACACCUCGUGCACUCAUUAGUGAUAGGGGCACCCAUUUUCAGGGUCAGUUCGACCGGGUGUGCCACUGCUUUAGUGUCUCACACCGGCUCUCUACUGCCUACCAUCCUCAGACUAGCGGGCAAGUUGAGGUGAUGAACCGAGAGCUUUAAAGAAUUAUACAAAAGUCCAUCGAUCAAUCGAACAAAGAUUGGUCGAGUAAACUCGAUGACGCUCUCUAGGCUUAUCAUACCGCGUACAAGACGCAUAUAGGGACCACUCCCUAUAGACUCGUCUAUGGAAAAUCCUGCCAUCUACCAGUCGAACUUGAGCAUCGAGCCUACCGGCUUUAAAAUUUCUCAACAUGGAUGCUAGUAUUGUAGGUGAACAUCAAAAGUUUCCGAUACAUGAGCUAGAGUAACUCUGUCAUCAUGCUUAUGAUAGCUCAAGGAUAUACAAGGAGCGGACCGAAAAGUACCACGACUCCCGCUUACGGACUAUCAAGGAAUUCAAGGAAGGAGACCUCGUCCUCCUUUUGAACUCGAGGCUCAGACUAUUUCCCGGAAAGCUGCAAUCCCGAUGGAGUGGUCCAUUCAUCGUGACGAAGGUCUUCGCUUAUGGGACUAUUGAGGUAACAGCAUCGCCCUCCUCUGAACCUUUCAAAGUGAACAAUCAUCGUUUGAUACUCUACCAAGUUGGUGACAUCGUAGGUGUUGUCGACGAGGUGGAUUGUUUCCCACUUUGAAUUGUUCAUGGGAGGCCGUCUAGCUAAAGACGAUAAAGAAGCGCUCUUGGGAGGCACCCCUUGCGUAUCCAUUGUUAGAAUAGACAAUAAAAGACCUUAGAUGAUAAUUAGUGAGUCUUUUAAUGUGUGUUUGGUAUGAAUCUUGUGUUUGAGUCGAGUCUUGAGUCAUUGAUCGUGGCCUUGGUGAUUAUUGAUACAAUUGAACCCUAAGAGAGCUAUAUUUGUUGGUUGUUGAAUGCUGAAAUAGCUGGAAUUCGAUUGAGGAAGUUGCUGAAAAAAAACCCCUGCACGCCAUGCAAGACUUGAUUUGUUGAAUUCCGCGGCCACUAAAAUGAGGAACGCCGUGCUGGCCAAAAUUGCCUGAGACCAGCGUCCCCCGUAUUGAGGAACGGCGUGCACACCCCAAUGUAUCUGAUACCCAUGUACCCUAAUACAUGGAACGACGUGCACAUAUACAUGUCGUGCACCCUGUUUUGAAUCCGAAAACUCCCCUUUUCUCUCUCCACGAAUUUUCCUUCUUUUCUUCUCCCUUCUCCCCGCCGCCCCCUCCUUCCCUUAUCAUUUUCCUUACCUUCCUCUCCUUCUUCCUCUUCUUUUUCUCCUCCUUCCCCUCCCCCUCCUCCCCAUCCUCACCUUCCCUCCUCCCUCUUCCCCUCACCCUCCCUGCGCCGCCCCUACUCCCCUCCUCCUUCCCCCGCCACCUCUGACCACCCCCCUCCACUCUUCCCAACCGUCGUCCCUCCCUCCUCAUCCUCUUUCAAACAUCCCUACACCCUUCCCCUCCCCUUCCCCUUCCUCUACACCCACAUUCCCUCUCCCACAACCCACCAUCCUCCAUACCACCCAAAAACACCUAAAACCCCCCAAAACACCAAAACUUCAAUUCGAGCGAUUCGGGGCUUCGUGUUGGUCUCCCUCAACUCGGUGGCUUCCCAAUUUCAUUCGCCAAUGCUCAAUUUUGAUUUCCCCAAAUUUCUGUUAGUAUUCAAAUUUUUAGGUCAAAAUUAUGGCUUUUUUGAAUUUGGGUCAAUUGGGUAGAUUACAUGUGAAAAUAGUGCCAUAAGUGUUGAACUUGACUACCUAGGAUGUUGCUUUUGCCAUAUUACUUGAACUUCGCCUGGAAUUUUGGUUUUUCAAUAACGGUAGAAUUUUCUAAUUCGGCCAUUUUUCGAAAUUCUGCAAUUUCAGGUUGUUGAUGCUUCCCCUGUGUUCCAUAUGUUGUGUUGAUGCCUUCCUAUGCCUAUGUCAUGUUAGAUUUCUCCCACAUGUGAUUGCUCCGAUGAAUUCAAUAUUUAUGCUUAUGUGUUGAGCACCCGAUAUUGUGUGGACAUUAUGUCGAUUGCGUUGUACUUGUUAUGACCAUUGUGAUUGAAAUACUGUCCAUGAUUACGUAGGAAGCUUCUUGCAUGUUCCGAACUUGUAGUUCGCUUGAUUUUUCAUGUUCUUUGAAACGGUUAAAUUUUUGGGUUCAAUCGUUUUUUGAGAAUCUGAAAUUUUAGGUAGUUGUUGAUGUCCAGGUGUUUCAUGUGACUCAUUAUCAUCAUUAUAUAAUCUUGAUGCUUCUUGUUUGAUCGAAGUCAUGCUUUUGCUUUGAAUUUGUGAUUUUGCCAAAAUUGGUACAAUAUCACCAUUAUGCCAAUUUUGAAAAUAAGAACAUUUGAUAGUUUUUGUUGACUUCUUGGUCUUCAUUGUGACUAUAUGUGUCUUUGUGUACCAAUGCCACUCCUUGUUUGCUCAGAAUCAUUGAUAUGACUUGUUCUUCAAUUUUGUCAAAACCGACCAAGUGAGCUAGGAUGUUUGUUUGGUAGUUGUGUUUACUUGAUUUGGUGGAUUAAAAGCAUGAACUCAGUUAAUCAUAACAAGUAAUUAAUCAUCAUAAUGCUUGGUCCUCGAAGGCGGAGCGCAUUAAGAUACCGAGGAUGAGGCUUCUUCACCUGCUCUUCCGUCGCGCCAUCACCGCUAGGAAGCAGUCUAGUAUCGGAGGAAUAGUGAAGUCCACAGACUUGUGGCUUUUCCACUGCCUCGAGAAUGAAGUGAAGGUCCAUCUUGGGGACUUGGUCGCAUGCCUAUUCAGGCACAUGUCCGAGCAGAAAGGAGUUGGAGUUCUGUUUGGGGGAAGCUUCAUCGCACGGCUGGUGCGAAGGCUUAGAGUUAUGGACGCCUUUGGGGUGGACCCGCUGUUGCAGCGUGGGUAUCCUAUCAUAGCUCGGACUCUCAAAGCAUGGAGUCCCCAACCUGCUGGCUAAGAUAGUGCAAGAAGGGCCAGAUGUUAGAGAGGGGGAAGGAGCAGACUUCUCUCUAGAUACUGUGGAGACUCUUGCAGCACAAAUUGGUGGGCUGCAUAUGAACAUGAGUGACGUUCUCGACAGUCAGACCUUUCUCAGCCAGGACUUCCAUCGGUUUGACGGUCAUAGUAGAGCUGCUUGGGAUAACUGGACCAGAGGACCAAGAGGAUUGAGAGCGAGGUGUGAGGACUCCGCCAGGACUUCCAGGACUAUGUGAUCGAACACAGAUAGGCGAGGACUCAUCAGGAGCGACGGGGACGACCAAUUUGCUGAGGCUAAGGCUCAACAAGGCCAGUUGAUCCAGCAGCAGGGACACCAUAUCAAUGAGCAGCAACAUUGGCAGAGUGGACACAUGUCCUACUACUAGGACAGUUACUUCACGGGAGCAACCUACCCACCUCCAUGGCCAGCUUAUCCACCACCACCAUAGUGGCAUGAGAAUGAUCCAUAUCCUCAGUUCCCGGGGUAUCCAUACCCUAUGCCGGGGUAUCCAUACCCUCCGCCGGAUCAGUGAUCGCUUGGGACGUAUCAUGACUCAGACUUUUGUGUUUUUCUUUUUAUUUUGAGACUGUCAUUUUUCUUUCUUUUUCUUAAUUUUUCUCUUUGGCCUGUAUAACGGAUGAUAACUUCGGUUCCAUCUAUCAGUAGUACUUUUUUUGUCUUACGGUUAGCAGGUCCCAAACAAAGGUUCUGUCACAUCUCACCAUCGAUCUUCGUUUCAUCGGUAUCACCUUCUUUCUUCUCUAAUGUGAUUUCUUGUGAGGAUAGUGUUGAGAGUUAUGGGAUGACUUAGGAUGCUAGUAUUUCACUUGAUUGCUUAGAUUGAAUCCUUGUCAUUCAACAUUUGAAAUUCCCUCUUAAACUCGAAAUUAUGGAUGAAAUUGAAUGCAUGUUUAGCGUAGUAUUGCUGCUUGAGGGUGAAUAGGAUGCAUGAUAGAUUAUUUUCGGGUUGCCUCCCAUUUUUCUGGAAACGAGUUUAGAAUAGAUUUAUGCACUUGGUUACCCAAUCUUGAUGUCUACCGACUUGUGAACAAUAAAUUCCCUUAUCGAGUCGGUCUAGUUGUUUAAAGUCAUAUUUGACUAAAUAGUCCAAAUAACGUGCAAAAGAGGCCAAUGUGCCCAAAUUAUCAUGGGGGUUCGGUUGCGAUUCAACACACUGGUGACUUUGAGUCUGCCGCCUGUAAGCCAGUCCCUUCAAGCUUCUCUUCUCACCUCUUCCUAGUUGUGGGUCGGGGUUUUGUGAGUAAACUCGAUCUAUGUGGAUGAGAGCCUUAGCCCGACCAGGGUCGCAACUACCCCCAUUCGGAAAGAUACCCUCUAAAACUAUACAAAAAUUUUGAAAAGUGAGUUUGCAAUUAAUUGAGUAAUUCAAUUGACUCACAUGUGUUUAGUAUAUCAUGUAUAGUUAAAUUGAAAAAGAAGAGGGGAGUGCUUUUAAUCGAACACAUUAUUAAUUGACUCACAUGUGUUUAGUAUAUCAUGUAUAGUUAAAUUGCAAAAGAAAAAGGGAGUGCUUUUAAUCGAACACGUUAUUAAAGUACGCACUCCCUCCCUUAGGACGGGAAAAAUACCCGGCCAGGGCCAUUUUUUUUUAGCAUAAGUGAUAGGGGAAAUGUUUCGUCGGUGGGUGUUGAGUGGUACUAACUAUAUGCGUAGAUUUGUUCUUCAUUUGGAUUAGAGAACUCGGUAAUUAUAACUGUGUGGUUUGAUGAUCUAGAGUGUAUUAUUGGCAUCAUUAAAUAGGCUUGAACUGCAAGAAUGUUGUUUCUUCUUUUCACCAUGUUUAGAGUUUGCUUAGAGUACAAAAAGUAAGGUUGCUUGAGGACAAGCAAGGUUUAAGUGUGGUGAGAUUUGAUAAGGCUAGAAUUUGUAGCAGUUAUCUCUCCUUUUUAUGCAUGCUUUUGAGUGAUUAUUAGUAUGUUCGAGCUUCAUGUCCAUAUGAUUUCGUGUUUUGGCAUCAUGUGUCUAGAUCCGUUCAUUUGGACCAUUUCGGUCCAUUUGAUGUUUUCUUUGUAGUAUUUGUCACCUACAGGUACUAUGGAGAUAGGUGAUCUAACUAUGAAGCCAAGGACGUGGUGCGUAGCGCGAUUGGAGUUCGAACGGAAAGUCGAGAAGGAAAAUGGAGCAUCGGAGGGGCUGCACGACGUGCAGCCCUGGCACCUGUCAAAAUCCACGGCCUCAAACCAAGGGAAUUAUGUUAUCGGUGGGGUAAGCCGAUAACCUAAUUCUACCUUAUGUGUUUCUUGCAGUUUAAAACGAUAUUCAUCUUGUAAUUGGCUGGCGCUCUGGUUGGCACCCAAUAGACCAAGUUGGGUGUAGUUAUCAGUAGCUUAGGCGUUGGUGGACCAAGUUAAAGCUAUUUCCAAUUACUCGUGAUUUCUUUUAAUUCCGGAAGAACACCUUGUCACUUUGUAGAACUUCUCGGUGUUCAUUACCGGCUAGCCUGAUUAAGGUUAUUUCUACCUUAGUUGGGAAGCUAGUAGUGGUAAUCCGUGUGCAUGAUCGUGCCGCGGAUUCAUACGAGUGAUAGGAGGAUUCGUUUUAUUCAAUUCAAGUCCAUAUUCGUUCGUUUUGAAUCCAUUUAAGAAGUUGAGUUUGAUGACUCAUCUCUACCAAUAACUCGAUUUCACCAUUUGAAUCAACCCUUAAGUUUUUAGUUUAAUUUAAUCAUUAGAGUAAUUAAAAUCCAAACCCAAUUAUUUCAAUCUAAACCGUGUUGACGAGUUUGAGUAGAGGCAUAAUGGGAGGAACCUUCGGACACAAACGACACUUGUGUUGGCAGAAUAACUUCACAGUUAUUUCGGCGACCACACUCACUCCCCUUUGGAGUACAUUCGAUUACAGCUUUUAAUUCUAGUAUUUCAGAUUGUAUUCGCGUAGAAAUGAUAAUGGUCUCUUUCCCUUGAUUCAUUAAUCAUUAUUCUUAGGGCUUUGCCCGAGUUUCUACCAAAAAAAUUGUUUAACAUGACAAGUCCAUUUAUUAAUAAUGGGUAUUAUAUGCCAGUUAGGGUUGAUAAUUAUAUUAUAAUUUUAUAGUAAUUAUAUUUGUUUUGAUUUAAUAACUCAAAAAAGUAUGUACCAAACUAUAAAUACGGUGCGUCUAUAUAACAAUAUAUAGACUAUUAAUUUAUUUUUUAUUAUAAAUAUGGGAAAUGAUGGAUGUAAAAUGGUUGGACUAUGAUUUUACAGGUGUCUUGUUAUUUAGAAUUGUAAAAUUUUUUAAUAACAUUUAAGUGCAUUUCGAUACUGACUUCUAGAAAAAAAAACAUGCAAGUUUUUUUUAUAAAGCAGAUACAUGCAAAUUGAAAAGGAGAAAUGAUGUAGUUGUAGAGAGCCAUUUUUACUCAACUCUGAAUAUUUAACCGAUUUCAAUCAAGCAAAAUGUAGAGGGGCAGUUUCGGUAUUUCAAAAAACAUAAUCGUCUUCUCCGUUCCCACCCCAAGUUCAGUCGCCUCUCUCCUUCCUCUCCAAUUUAUCUACGAUGUCAGCUCUUCUUCCUCCAUCCCUUCAUUUCCCACUGACCCCCAAAUCCUAUCCUUCGACCUCGUCAGCUCAUCUUCCACCACCGAUUUGUCGACAACGCUCUUACUGCCAACGAAUCCGACAUUGUUGCUUUGUCAUAGUGUGAGAUCGAGGAAGAGGAGGAGAAAAAGAAGCCGGAGAUGACAAUCUCCGAUGGCUGAUCGUCGUUGUUAAUGGAGAAUGUUAAUUGGGGAAGAUGAAGUUAAAAAAUCCAAUUUAGUGCCCCAAGUUUUUCACAGAUUCAGUCCCCAGAGUUAGUAAAUUACUUAUAUAAUUUGUAAUUUUUAACUAAGGUCAAUCACCGCCCAAUAAGGUUUAUAGUUACUAUAAACUGACCCAGGACCUGUACAAAACUUCGUAGAACACGUAACUUAUCUAUUAUAAUAUAUAAAUUGUCAUAACUAAUAAUUAUAAUCGAUUAUAAUUCAUAAUUAGAAAAAUAAUAUAACCAGUUAUUAUUCAUAAUCGCUUAUAAAUACGUAGUUAUAAGCAGUUAGGAUCCAAAACACUAAACAUUAAAAGGAUUUAGGAUUUAUGGUUUAGGGUCUAGAGUUUUGAAACUCCAAGCCCUAAUUGGGACCCUAAAUCCUAAAUUCUAAACUUGUUUCCUAAAACUCUAAACCCUAACGAGUUUAUAAUUUAGGGUUUUUAAGUCAAUGGGUUACAAUAGUUUUUUGUAACAAAUUAAAAUUAUUACAAGUUAUAAUCACUAGAUAUAUCCAAUUAUAAUUAUUAAUUGUUAAAAUUAGUUAUAAUUAUUACCUAUUAUAAUCACUAGCGGUUACAUCCUGAACCCAACAAUGGAAAUUUUGCUAUGAUUCUUUCUUCCUUCUUUGAGGAGAAACUUGAUUUAUGUUGGUCUUCGUAUUAAAGCUGGUCUUAAGUUAGUCCUGAAAGCAGAUAAAUUAAUAAUAAGGGAUUAUAGUACUUCUACCCCCUCUACUUUACCAACUUAACAAAGAGGCCCCUCUAUUAUUAAAAAUUGUUUUUGCCCCCUCCUACUUUACCAACUUGCUAAACGUCUCCUUCCGUUACUCCAUUCGUUGUUUUGCCGUUAUUUCUCGCCUAAUCAGCAUUACCACACAUCAUACUGAUGACACGUGGUUAAGGAGUGUGAUAAUUAACCUUGUUAAUUUUUAAUUUUUAAUCAAAAAUUUAUUUUUGCAGUUGUUACUAUUUUAACCCUAAUGUAAAGUUACCAUAUCAGAUUAGGUACCAUUCUCUCCCCUCCUGCAUCUCAUUCUCACCGUUUGUGUUUCACCUCCCGCCUGCCUCCGACUUCAUUUUACUUUGGAAUCAGCCUUCUACCCUCUAUCCCACUCAUUUUCUAUCAUCUAUCCUCAUUCAAUCAAAUCUAUAACCUUUCCAAAUUUUUGGGAGCUCCAUAUUCGUUUUCAUCUUCCUCAGAUCCCUAACCUUUCCAAGAUUUUGAUCGAAUCGGAAAAAUCUCCCUACACAAAAAUUGUAAUAAUUAACCCCCUAUCGUAAUAAUCGUUCAUGGAGGGAAAGCUGCACAGAGGAUUCACCAUUUGAUUAAUUAGGUAGCCCCAAAGAUUGGAGUCAACAAAUCUAUUUUGAGUCGAUUUUUCAAACAGAGCAUGGCUUUUAUGGAGGCCGACGAGUGCAUUAAUUUUGAAGGUGGGUGGAAUCGAACUGGUUGAUGGCUCACGACAUAACUAAUUCUACUGGUAUGAAGGAGGAAGAUAAUUAUAUUCAACUUGAAGGACGAAGAUAAUUAUAUUCAACUUGAAGGAGGAAGAUGCUUAUAUUCAACUAGAUGAAGAAGGAACUAGUGGAGGAGGAGUAUGAUUCAACUGGAUGAAAGGUCGCCGCCUCCCCGGUCUUAGGCAGAGAGGUUACGGCUGUAAUUUAAGCAGAAAGAUGAAUUGCCCGGAGAUGAAGGAGAAAGAUGUUUAUUCGGGUAGAUCUUACCCACUGAAAAUAAUUGUAAGAAAUAAAAUUAAACAAGGCAUAAUUAUCAUACUAAAAAGCCACAUGUCAUCCUGGAUGAUGUGGCAAUGCUAAUUAGGCAAAAAAUAAUGGUAAGAUAACUGAUGGAGUAACAAAAGGAGACGUUUAGCAAGCUGGUAAAGUUGAAGGGGUUAAAAAUAGUAUUUAAUAAUAGAAGGACCUUGUUGUUAAGAGGGACCUUGUUGUUAGCUUGGUAAAGUAAAGGGGGCAAAUAUAAUAUUUAAAUCAUGAGACAGAGGUACACUUAUAAAUAAAUAAAUAAAUAAAAAGUGUGAUGCAUGCACAGCCGCAAGAUCGAACUGACGGCUCUAAUUCAUCUCAUAUUUCCUGGAAAACUUUUGAUCUUUUGAUUUAGCCGGUGGUUAUCACCCCCUUCCUUUCCCAGAAUCCCGACGCGGGAUAGCUUCGAUGAUUUCGGCGACAAUCAUACAAUUUCCAUUUUGAAUUUCUGGCCAUAGCUCUCGAAGCUUAGUUCUCUCUAGUCGAGAGCAAAUUCAUGCGUUGCUUAGCGGACGACAAACAAGCUGCCGACGGGGUCACAGUUGAUCGAUUUCAGGCCACCUUGAACGAUCCUGGUGGUGCAGGAUAGCUUUGUACCAAGGUUCAUAAAGACGAUUAAGUCUCCAAUUUCAUAUUGCUUCUUCGUGAACUCUUCUUACUUAAUUUAAUAAGGUGGGUUGGUUUAAGCGUUAAAUUUUUUAUGUUUUUGUAGUUAGGUUAUGUUUUAUUAACUAAAUUAAUCUCCUUAAUUUUAUGAUUAAGUUAUUACGUUAUGUUUAUGUCCAUUUUUUUAUGUGCAUAGUGAUGUACCUUCAGAUUAUCAUAAGGCUGGACUAAUAUGUUAACUCUAGAUUAACGAUAAUGUUAGAAAUAUGACAACGAUAGAUGACAAGUGAGCAUUGAGCAAGAACACUAUGCCUAGAGGAUUAAUAGGUGGAUUAAAGGCAUGAACUCACUACCUAGACUGUUGCCCACAUGAUUCAGGCCAGUAUUGCCCGCACGAUAUGUUGUCUGACGGAUACAUUCUCCCAGACAUCCAUGAUUUUCAUGAUAUAUUAUCUGACAUAUACGUUCUCACGGACAUCCAUGAUUUUCAUGAUAUGUUGUCUGACGAAUACGUACUCCCAGACAUCCAUGAUUUUCAUGAUAUGUUGUUUGAGGAUAUGUGCUCCCAAACAUCCAUGAUUGUCACGAUUUGGGCGGUAGGGCUAGUUAGUUGAAUUGAUGGACGCCCCACAAGAAUUAAGAUAACUUAGAUAAGGUUAAGAACAAGUACAAGAAUUAAUGUCAUGUAAUUGACAUUCACAAACAUGAUGAUUACGAUAUAACAAGUUACAAGAAUCAUGAUAGUUACAAUCUCAUAACACACCUAACAUUAUUAGUUUGAGUUCUAUUUUAUUAUGAUGAUUAAUUACUUGUUAUGAUUAGCGUUACAUGUGUGUUAGGAUUACAUAAAGAUGGUCUCUUUAUAUAAUAUGUAUAUUAGAAAAUAUUGAUGAUUGUUAUGAAAUAACGUAUUUUAUUCGAAUGUUUAUUCUGAAAUUUGUUUUAUGAUUUGAGCACGAAAGACUGACCCCGAAUCACAUACAUGGUGUUUGAAAGUUAAUGGUGGAGCAGAGUGGAGCUGAUUCGGGAUAUGUGGCAACGUGGACGUGAAUUUUAGAAAGCGUAUUUAUGUAUAAGUUAUUGAGACUUGAUUUUGAAUGGGUCACCGCCUUAUGAUUUUUGAAAAAAUGCCCUAACUUAAAUGGCAUAAUUGCCCUUUUACCGAACACACAAACCCUAAAUACUAUUCUCUAAACACAUCACCCACGAUCAUCAUCGAUCAUUCAUCGAUCAUCAUUGUUAUUCAAGUUCUAAACGAUCAUCACCGAUCCAAAAAAAUGAACAUAUGUUCAUUAAAAAUUCAUAAAAACGACCACCUAAUUGCCGCUGACAAACAGACAUCUCGUUGCCGGCAAGACCCAUACAGAUUACUGAGCCAUCGAAGCUCGACAGAGGUGAUCGAGUAUGAUCUUUAAACCUUCAAUUGUCGGAAAGAGAUUGAAUCGGUUUUUCAGUUUCGGUGUUAUUCGUUUCGGGUUUUGUGAUCAAAAGGGUAAUAAUUUAAUUACACAUGUUCUAGGGCGUAACUUAGGACGACGAAUAGCAAUUCAGUUUUCUUGAGAUUUUGUAGAGGCUUGCUAGUAAUUAAAAGUUUUAUUUUCUUUAUUCUCUUUAUCGUUUUAUUUACUCUUAUUUAUUAUUAUUAUUUUAUUUUAAUAUAUUCUGGCUAGGGCAUUUUAAUAAUUAGCUAAAGAUGUUGUUAAGACUCUUAUGCCCUCUAAUGAUUUUUAAGUGUUUCGUUGCUUUGAGGGCAUUUUGGUCAUUUAGUAAUUCAUAAGAAAUGAGGGUGUGACAAGCUAUAAAAGUUAUCAUAAGUGUUUAUAACUAGUUAUAUUUUCCAUUUAUAAGAGGUUAUAUAGUAGUUGGAGUAAGCUAAUAGCUCGAUUCUACCUUUCGUGCUUCUUUUGGUUUUAACGGUUGUUCAUCGGGUAAUUGGCGGGCGCUCUGGGUUGCGCCCAAUGGACCAAGUUGGAUGUACUUAUCAGUAGCUUAGAUGUUGAUGGACCAAUUUAACACUAAUUCCAAUUGCUUGUGAUUUCCUUUAAUCCCUAAAGAGCAUUCUAUCACUUUGUAGAACUUCUCGGUGUUCAUUAUUGGUUAGCCUAAUUGAGGUUAUUCCAACCUUGAUUAGGAAGCUAGUAAUGGUAAUCCACAUGCAUGAUCGUGCAGCGGAUUCAAACGAGUGAUAAGGAAUCAUAUUGUUCAAUCCAAGUCCAACAUUUGCUCGAUCCGACUACUAUUAAGAAGUUGAGCUUGAUGAAUCAUCCCUUCCAAGAACUUGUCUUCUCCUCCUAAUUAAACCAUAAUUGUUAAUUUUAAUUGAAUCAAUAGAAUCAUUGGAAACCCUUCUCAGUUUGUUCAGUCUAGAGCAUGUUGAGGAGUUUGAGUAAAAGCAUAACGAGAGGAAUCCUUGGACAAAUACGAUAGUGGUGUUGUCGAGAUAACUUUGUUAUUAGUUUGGUGAUCAAGAUUUUGGCGCCGUCGCUGUGGAACUCUCUCUUGUUCCUUUGAAAGAACUUAGUCGGUGUCUCUUUAGAGAUUCCCCCCAUUUAUAGUGUUACUUCGUUUUUUUUCUCUCGCUGGAUUUACUUGGGUUGUUAGUGCUUGAGUUCAUGUGCAAGGUUAUAGUUGGAAUGGGGAGUGGCAAGGUCCAUAUGGUGCAAGUAAUGAAGAUGAAGGUUGGAGCUCAUAUCCUAACCAACACCAACAUUAUGAGCAUCAAGGUCCACCAAACUACUACCAACCUAGCUAUGGAGGAGAACAACAACAACGCAGUAACUCUAGGCAUGGAACAAUGCAUAGUUGGGUUGCACACCAAUCUCCCACACCUUUCUACCUAGACUCACCUUCAACUUACUAUCACCAAGACUCACCUCUAACCUACUUCCACCAAGGCUAUAAUCAAGAUCAACCACCUUUUUAAGACCAAUGCUCAAGACCCGAUUAUUCAUAUCAAUCCCCUCCUUCGAUGUAUGAGCAACUCCUUAUGCUACUUGAGGAGAGUCGCCGCCAACUAGAGAUAUCAUAUAAAUGAACUCGCCUUUUGACACGACUUGUGGAGGAACUUUCUUUCCUACCAUAAUUCGAGGAGGUUGAGAUGAAUGAUCAUGAUUUGGGUGUGACAUCCGAGGAAAUGGAUGAGGAAGUGGAAGCAUUUUCAAUCACCAAAGACCAAACAAUGAUGCAUGAUGACAAAGCAGAGGGGUUCGAAUAGGAGGAAGCUUCCUCCUAUGAAGACCACCUACUUUGAUUAUUUUCGGGAUUGGAGGUGUACGAAAGAUGAUUUGAAGAAGUAGUGAAUGCAUCAACCUUUCUUGAACAGAAGCUACCUUUCUUUGAUGUUGGGGUAGAAGAUUCCAAAAUGGAGGAUGAUGGAGAGUGGAAGGAAGAAGUACAUAAAGAUAUGGGGCCUCCGAAAUUUGACAUUGCACCUUCCAUUGAGAAAGCUAUCAUUUGGUGUUUUCCUCGAGUCAUGGUUCCAAUGUGAGGAAACUCAGAAGGAGUACUCCCCACACCGGUCUAGAAAGGACUCCUUCAUCUCAGGACCACCCUUAGACGACCUCACCAACCACUUGAGUACCACCAUUAGCUUGGGAGCAUUUUAGAGCUUGAUGUUUAGUCACCAACCUACCUCUACCAUCCUCAAGCAUGCACAUUCACAAGGAGGAAGCCACAACAAGGAAAGAGUUGGCGCUCACAAUUGCUUCAGCUCCACCAUCUCUCUCUAAGGGUGCUACUUGGCAUUCAACUCCAAUCCUUAAAGAAACUAAUGGAAUUCAAUGAGGUUCUAAGUUGGGGAGCGUAAUCCAGGUAUCGUCUAGCUCAAAGAAGAAAAAAAGAGCGCUCUUCGGACGUACCCUUGCGUAUCCAUUUUUAGAAUAGGGAAUAAAAGACCAAGGAUUGUUGGUUUGUGUGUCUUGUGGUAUGUCUUUUGUGUCAGUCUUGUGAUUGAGUUGAGUUUUGAGUCCGUUGAUAGUGUCCUAAAUGAUUGUUGAUGCCUUCCUCAAUAUAUAUUUCACAAGGACACAAAAAUUCUAUAGUACGGUAAGCAAUGUGUGAUGCAAAUGACAUAUAGAGACUAGUAGGAGUCAUACUACAAACUUCCAGAUUUCUUGAAUGAGGUACAAGGUCUGAACCUAGAAAGGCAAAUUGAGUUCCGACUCGACGAUAGGAUGGUUGAGGUCAUGCCACUGGAGAAAUUAGGUCUGUAUUCUGGAGCAUUAAACUGAGCAUUGAAGGUUUCGGUAACUUCCCUCCUAUGUUGUUUGUGGAUGGCAUGUGCCUUACUGGAUAAUAUAGUGGAACUCUACUGUUGGUAACCACAACAUCCUCACUAUCGCAUUUUCAAUCAUUGACAAAGAAAGUGUAGAUUUGUGGGGGUGAUUCUUCCGCUGCAUUCAAUGACUUGUUGCAGACAUGCAAAACAACAUCGUAAUCUCAUAUCCUCAUGCGGGGAUAAGAGCUGCAAUGACCACCAUUAGUAACGGGUGGAUAUGGCGAUGGUGCAGCUGACGCUAAGAACGCAAUUACAACAGUCAUGUCAAGGUUCCAAACAUUAAAGAUUGACUGAAGUCCAUGGGUAUUGAGUCUGAUUAAUACCAUGCACUUUGCUAGUGCAUAUACUAUAUUGACAAAGUAGGUUGUUUGCAGUGAACGAUGGAUCAAGAUGGAGCUCCAAUGUAAAGGUUGCCUGGUUUCUUGAGGCUGACAAAAGACUCAAGCUUAACUAGCCAAACUGGGUCACCCACAAUAAAGAACUGUGGACCAAGGCAAUUGACACCGAGCUGGGGGGAUGCGAUAUGGCAUAAUGAUGAACAAUAUGAGUGAGAGUAUCAAUGGAACCUUCAAAGUGACUUUGUCUCUACUGAUAUGUGCUCUGGCUAGCCCAACGUUUUACUGGUAUGUUAUACAUGGUUGUGGAUUCUACUCACACAUGUCACGUUUCAUCUCUUUGUUGAAUGGAUGGUACUUUGAUUAGGCUGGUUGAAUAUUUUGAUCAGCGACAAAAAAUUUAAUUGCAGACAUAUGUUAGAAUGAAUACUGGACAUCAUACUGUACUAAGUUAAUGCGUGACUGUGAUAUGCAUUGUCUAACUCAUGAGGUGUGAAUGUUUGAUCACAAAGCAGAAGAGUAUGAUAUGGUAAGUACAUACAACAACACAAAUAAUACAGAUAGCCCAACAUAUAAGGUCUACAUUGAUCACCCGAAUAUGUCAAACCAUUAUAGUUGUGGGAUAUUACAACAUUCAAAGAUUCUUUACAACCAUGCUUAUGGGGUUUGCAAGAAGAUGAACCUCAACCCCGUACGAUUAUGUGCAUGUCAUUUAAAUGGAUGCUGUUUCCAUUCACAUGUUUGGUUGGAUUUGGAAAUUUAUCAUUCAUAGUCUAUCCACUAACAGCUUACACAUCAUGCACUGAGUGACAUCUAUCUAUAAUGUUGAAAUUAGUGCAUACAACCAUACAACGUAAUAGAAUAAAGCAUAAGUAUGCCCAUGUCGUCCUCGGCCACCUUGUCCCCAAUGGUCUGCUAAGUGGUGGUCUCCACUACCGCAUCUGGUAUGUCGAGGUUACUGGCACAACCCGAGUCGGUGGCAUCUCAGAGAUGCUUUCAGCUUAGUAGACUGGGCAACAAUCUACUCCUUGGGCAUCUUCUUGCUUGUAAGAUUAAACAGUACCAAAUCCUGAUGCCCGUAGUAUGGGACCCACUAAAAAAAUUAGCCAUCCUCAAUCUAGGUAACUGAGUGAAACGCUUGUAUCGAGCGCUCGAAAAUAACCUAAUUACCAAAGUAACCUUAGUCAAAUUCCCUAGAGUUUCAAAGAUGUGUUCUACUUAAAGUUGUAAAAUUUACUAAUCGAAAGCAACCAAUUUUGUGGUGUGAGUUCCACGAUUUCUAUGAUCUAAUAAUUAAACUAAGAAUCAAAAGACAAUUAAACAAGAUUGCAAGACUCCACUGAAACUUUGGAAAACACUUAUAGAUGAAACUGCUUAGAUUUCAAAUCCCCUUAGGCUAUCCAGAUAAACAAAUGAUAUCAACUAUUCAAUUAAUGCAAAGCAAGAUAAACAUAAUUCACUGUCGCAAUUCUUCCCUACUUAGGUCACGUCCAUUCGAGCCAAGAAUUUGAAACCUGUACAACGAUAAAUCAAACAUAAUCGCACUCCCGACAGACUAGCCUAACUGAACCCUUCUAAGGGUUAACGACUAACUUAGUUGAUUAAUUUCGACAUUCUAAGACAAAUAGGCUCUUUCGAGACGAUGCAAGUCUAAAAAUAUCCCAUUCAAGAUGACUGAUGAGCGGAUUUUACCCCACUUUCAAAUACCCACUAGAUUUCUCUAGUGGGAUAGUAAAUCUCCCUAGGGUCUUCCUAUUUCUAUUACUCAAGUUGAUGUACUAACUAAACCAAGUAAUAGGUUGAAAUUGUUUUUAGAGUGUUUUAAGUAACUAAUUAACAACUAAGUAUGCAAUACUAAGUAUGAAUUCGAGAGAUUGAGUUUCAAAUAGGAAAUGAAGGUUGCUCGGAUUCGAAUCCACUACAGCUAGCAAUGUAUGAAUGAAUGACAAAUUAUCUCGGUUAUUCAGGUUAUAACGGCUCGGCAAUUUCCUAAUGUAGUCUUAGAUCACUCUCGCGCCUCUAAGCAUCUAUUUCGUCUAACUGUAGACUCCUCUCUCGAGCUAAUCUACACCUAAACAAAACGCAUUAAUUAUGUUCGACGAAAUGCCACAACGAUAAAUGUGCAAAGAGCCUAAACAAUUCGCUCCUCUCUCAAGCUAACGAAUAAUCUAGGGUUCUUCCUAAGCAGCCUAUCGAUCUAUGUUCCUUUUGGACCCACAAAUCAAUGCCAAUGAUUCAAACAAGACAGCCAGACAGAAUUAAAUCAGAAAUUAGGUUUUAGGAAGAAAACAUCAUAAGUCUAAAUAAACGUCGAUAACAAAACAAAACAUCCAUACAAAAGCUUAGCUAAAGCUUCCUCUCGUCCGAACAACACAUAAAGCUUAGCUACUCAUGGUUCGGGAAGUAAGAAGGGAAAAAGAAAUGAGAACAACCCGGAAAGACAACAUGAUCCGUCGAGAAUUCUCAAACCUAUCGCCGAUCUUCGCUCCUUCGCCAAUCGAUGAUAAUCUAUCGCUUCAAUCGGUCUCUGAGACUCUCUCUCUCUCUCUCUCUCUAAGAACUCGAAAAUAUGUGUAGAAUGAAUGAUCUCCCGUCCAAAGGGCUGCUAGGGCUUUAUAUAGACUCCUGGUCAAAAUCAGAGGCGGAAAAGGAUUUGAAAAUCCGUCUAGGAUGGAACACGCCGUGUUCCUGGCCGUGUUCCUCCCCUAUAAGUUUUCGCCCGAUUUCAUAACUGGAACACGCCGUGUUCCUCUCCAGUUACUCCAAGAGUUGGAACACGCCGUGUUCCUCUCCAGUCAAUCCAAAUCUGUCCGUUUUUGCUCCUGUUCAUCCCCAAACGUCGUACAUUGCCUGAAAAUGUAUCAAAAACACACCAAACAACAUAAUACGACCCCAAGGGGAGCUAACAUGUGCUAGAAAUAUAGAGUUUAAACACCUUUCAACACAGAUAAAGCACAGUUUACAACCAAAAAGGUGUGUUGAACAUACAACACGUCAAUGACCAGACAAGAACCAGAACCCAAUUGAAAUCAAUCAUAAACUGAAAUCCAUCCAAUUUGUAUAAAUCAAAAUAGUCAACCAAUCAUCUAUUCAAAAAGAAUCACCUACGGUUCAUCUAAUAUGAUCAUGAAGAACAAAUCAUUAUAGACAAAAGAAACCAUUGAAAUGAGGUUUACAAGAAGAAAUUUAACAACCUAAUUCUUCCAAUCGUCGUCGAACAUGCCAAUCCGAUCUCCCUGAAGUCAUUGUCUUCUCGUUGCUCAAAAGUCUCUAAAUUCUGCUCUAAAUUUUCGUCCAAAAGGGUCUCUCCCCAAAAUGAAAGGGAACCAGUCUUUAAAUAGGAGUUGAAGUUCUAUUUGUUGUUGGUUGUCACAAAACUUUACUAAACAUGUCACAAAGAUCACCGUAAAUGUGUGACAUUUGAGGCGAGCUUUGUGAAAAAAUCCAACACUUGUAAGUUUUAGUCAUUCGAUUGAUCCUAGCUCAUCCAUGUGUGUUGUAUUGCUCCCGACUAAUGCCUCACUGUCGUUAAGUAGCUGAAAUAUACAAAAAACACUCCAAAUGACAUAAAAUGGCCCCCGAGCGGGUCUGACACACGAAAUCAAGAUAGAAGCUUAAAAUGCAAAAAACACCCUAGACUUCUACCCACAACUAUACAACUAAGCAUGAAAGGUCACUUAAAUGAGGGCGAUGAAUGUCGUAAAUCAAACGUCAUCAAAUAACCCCACACUUAAGCUUUGCUUGUCCUCAAGUAAAAAAUUGAUCACAGCCAAGGUAAACAUCUAUAAUUGAUUCAAAAUACUUGACAAAAAUCUUAGUGAAUCCAUAUUCAUCAAUGUUCCCCUAAGUCCUUAAGCAUGUAAGUGAACCGUUAACAAUAAAGCCAAUUUAGGAAAUAAAAGCCCCACAAGAUGUUUUUCAACUUUCUACACAUCAUCAUGUAUAUUAGCAAUCCAGCUAUUCAGCCAAUAGCUGCUUCUAUCGGCUAAAAACUAUAGAUGGUUGGGCGUUGGGUUUAAGAUCGUUGAUUUCAAGAUAGAGUUGGCCACCAAAUCUGCCCAUCAAUUUUAAGUGUGGCCAGACAUAGAAAGAGAAUGACUUCAUACAAGAUAAAAAAAUCCAGAAUUAAGGAAUUCAUAACAUGACAGGUUCAGAAAAUUUAAACAACAAAAAGAAUGAUUCCGCAACAGAUAAAGAAAUCAGAAACUAAGGACUUUAUAACAUAACUGGAUCAGAAAAGUUAAAGAACAAAGUCAUAACCUUAUUUCCUACUUCAGGAUUACCCAACACUGCCUUCUUCUUCUUCUGACCAACUUGGACAAAGGUAUAACAUUUUCAUAACUCUGGUAUAACCAUAGCAUAACACAUUACCAACAACAUGUAAAAAUCACACAGAAACAGUACCGGUUUCUUAUCUGACUCUGAUUUUCGAUCAACGGGUUUCUUCUUAGGAGAAGCCUAACGAGGUAAAACGUCAAUUAAUAAUGCCAUUGGUUACUUGAAACCCAAUGAAAAAAAGAAGGGAAAAAAACUUACUAAAGGUGGUUCCUCUUCCGAAUCAGAACCCUUUAGAGGGGUCACCAGUUUCCUUUUCCGUUGUCUGCUUGAUAAUGGUUUGUUAGGAGAGAAAAAAGAGCCAUUCUUCAAUCUCGCCAUUGACAUCUUGCAGAUCUAGGGGACACACACAAAUAGAACCAUAGUUAGAAACACAACCUUAUUAUUUAUAUGGAAACUGAUAGAGUAGUUACAUGUGUGAGAAUGAGAAACCAUUUUCGUUCUAUGGUGAAGAAGGCCGAAGGUAACCAUCGAGAAGAAAGAAAAAAGGAAAGAAGAGAGAAUAGAGAAAUGUGGGAAGAGUGAGAUAAUGAGAGAAGGAGAGAGGUAAGGAUUAUUUUCUGUGUGAGAAGAGAGCCAGAUAGCUAUUACACGCCAUCUCUCCGCAAUUCCAAUUUUAAAUUCAAAACAUUUCAAAUUAAACAUAAAUGAUAUUAAUAAAAUAAAAAAUGAAAUACACCCCCCCCCCCNNNNNNNNNNNNNNNNNNNNNNNNNNNNNNNNNNNNNNNNNNNNNNNNNNNNNNNNCCCUCAUAUUGGUCUAUCGGCUGCAGCCGAUGGAAGCAACUAUUGGUUGAUUAGUCCUUUUGGCAUAUUAGAAUACCCAUCUUGACUUCUCACUAGGUGCACAACUUAAAGAUGAAGUUGAAAAACAUUCACUCUCAAAGGUUGUUUGAUUUUUGUAUUUGGAGGGGGAUUUUGGGAGGGAAUUGGUGGAGCCAAGUGAUUUGGACAAAAUCCCUUGUUUGAUUUUUUAAAAUGGCAGCGAUUUGAAAUCACCACAUGUGGUCCCAUGGUGAUAUGAAAAGUGAUUUGAAAUCACCAUGAGCUCUGUGUGACUUGAAGAUCCCAAAUAGUGAUUUCGGCACAAAAUGAUAUAUUAACCAAAUUAAAACUUAGUAAUUAUAGAAAUGCCACUAAAAGUAUGAAGAAUUGAGAGGACUAAUUUUAGAACUAGAGGGCAAUCUAGUCUUUUAUUGAAUAAGUUAAUUUCACUUUUUUAUUUGAAAUGCUAGAAUCACUUUCAAUUUCGGAAAACAAAUAAGAUAUUUAUGAAAUCACUAGCUAUUUCAAAUCACCUUCUUCCAUAUCUCAAAUUCAAACGACGUCUCAGUGUUUAUUCACACAUUCAUUUUUUGAGGGUUGCUUCUAACACUUAAACGUCAACCAAUUUUACAAUUACAUCAUGCUGUUUCACAGAAGUCAAGAGGUCUUUGAUUAGGGUUAUUUUGUGGAAAAUAUAGAAUAAGAGGAGAAAUGAGAUAUAUGGUUAUGUACAAACAAUGGAAGAUGACUCGGUCGACUAUGAUUUGGAGCUAUAACUACAUACAACAUCAAAAUACUAUGCAAAGAUCCAAUAUAUAUAAGAGCUUUAUACUAGCUCGUCUUCCUUCAACAAACUACUACUAGUUCAAGCUUUUCAGCUCGUUAUUCUACUUAUUUAUUUCCAAACUUUUCUUUUUGCACUUUUUGUGUAAAGGGAGGAGGCAAAUGUCGCACCUAAAGUCAUUACGGGUAUGAUUUUGAUGCAUAACAUGAGGUUGUUGUUCUUAUGGAUUCUGGUUCUACUCAUUCUUUCAUCUCUAGUUCUUUUGCUCACAAAUUGGGCAUGGUACCGACUCGUUAAGGGCAAAACCUAGGAGUGAGGACACUAGUGGGGGAUACUUUGAUAGUAGAUUUUGUGAUUAGGGAGGGUAGUAUACUAGUAAAAAGGUAUGAGUUUGAGGCAGACUUGAUACUUCUUCCUUUCGAGGAGUUUGACAUAAUUAUGGGCAUGGAUUGGAUGUCCAAGAACCGAGCCAAUCUAAGCUGUCACAAUAAGGAGGUCAUAUUUGAAAGUAAGGGCCAAGGGAUUGCUUUGUUCUAGGGAAUUCAUUGCCCCAUUCCUAAAAGUCUUAUAUCUAUAACAAGGUCGUUCAUAUUAAUCAAAGAAGGUUGUGAAGCUUACCUAGCUAAUGUAACGGAGGCACCAACACUAAGACCUGAGGAUGUCCCAGCGGUGAGAGAAUUCUUGGAGGUGUUUCCUGAAGACCUUCCUUGGCUUCACUACAAAAAAUUGCUACUUUAACAGCGGAUAUAUAACAACGGCCAGACACCCGCUGUUAAAUAUUCCGUUUAAGAGCGGCUGAACAGCCUAAUUUAACAGCGGUUUUGAUGUGGCCGCUGUUAACUGAAUUAAUUUAACAGCGGUUCUAAAUUAGCCGCUGUUAAAUGUGGACCAUAUUUACGUUGUCGUUUCUGACAACAUCGAACAACGAAUAUUUUAUACAAACCGAUGUUAAAUUAAAUGAUUUAACAGCGGUUUUUGCCUAACCAUUAUUACAUAAUCAUAUUUCGAACCACUAAUUUGACGUGAAAAUAGGUAUAAAACUCAUUGAAUUUACUAUAACUAGCCACAUAUAACUAUUUUACUGCCAAUUCAACCAUAUUUAGGUCAAUGGUGUAGACCGAUGUCCGUACUACACUCGUAUAUACAUACGCAUAUCAAAGUCGUAACAACACUAAUAACUUCAUCUUAUAUGUAUACAUACACAUUCACUGUUUAUAUCAAAGGACUCCGUAAUAAGCAUGUUGUAUAAUUCGACAAGUUCAUGUAAUUAGAAAACCGAAUAUGAAAAAUCGGGAUGAGUUACGCUUAUAUAUGUACGUACUAUAGUAAUAAACAAAUCGAAAUGGUAAUACCAUCUUUUGAAGUUUUGAUAACCAAAACCCAUUUAUAAAUCUUUUGAAGGUUUGAUAACCAAAAUCCAUUUAUAAAUUUUCAGGUUUAAGAAUACAACAUAUAUGACCAUGUACCGUAAUGGUUAAUGGUUCUUCCAAUCCCCCUUCUUCUUCUUCAUGUGACUAGGUUUGAAUCACAGCCCUUGCUUAUUUUAGUUUCAUUUAACAGUGGCCCUUGUAUAGCCGAUGUUAAAUUAUUUCAUUUAACAACGGUGCUCUAAAGGCCACUAUUAAAUAGUUUCAUUUAACAGCGAUUCUCUACAGGCCGCAGUUAAAAUUUUGAACUUAGCACAAAUUGACGCGUCAUUCAUUUAAAGUAACGAUGUCGUUUAUUCGUUUAAUUUAACUGUGGUUUCCUUGUAGCAGUUGUUAAAUGUGUGAUAUAAAUAACAGCAGCCCUCCUUUAUCCACAAAGGAGAAGAAGAGAAGAAGGCAGCACGCGGAUGAGAAGAAGAGAAGGAGGAGGAGAAGAAGAAGAAGUAGAAGAAGAAGAAGAAGAAGAGGGUGCUAAUCACUCUCCAAUCAUCUCCAAGUCUAGAUUUCCAACUCUCCAAUCUCAAUCUCCAACUCCAAUCUAGGUAUUUGAAUG